rnacentral:lncRNA from 1 species
AAAGACAGACAACUCAGAAAGAAAAAAAAAAGGCAUCAGUUGAAUACCCUUAGGAAGCUGAAGCUUUAGAGCAUUUGAGUAGUAUUUUGGAGACACAAUUUACCAGAAAAACAAAGGGGUCUUUACAGUUUGCUCUAAGUUUGGUUUGCUGAAGUUUCUGGGUAAUUUCUGGGUGAUUUCGCUGCUGUUCCCAUUGAUGUUUUUACUGUCUUUGCUGCUGAAUUUCUGUUGUUGCACUGCUGUAUUUUAUUAUUCUACAAAUCAGGUAACUUUCAAAUUCUUAUAAUGCAGAUUCUUGAUGAUAAUAAGAAAGAUUUGAUCCUGGUUUGGCUGAUGAGAUACGUUAGAUAUGACUUUGUUCCUAGAUGAAUGAUAUGUUAGUGUUAUUAUUAUAUAAAUCUGUUAGAAGUUAGCUAAAUUAUCAGUUCUUCUUUACAUAUGUUGGUGAAACUGCAUUCUACUAAGUCUUUUAGUUAAGGAGAAGAAAUGUUCUUGUUGCAGAACAGCAGAAGUAUUCUGCAUAUGAAAUGUAAGAAUUGUUUUGGUUUCUUUUUGCCUUUAUUUCAUUUUUUUUUUUUACUUUUGUUACCUUAAGUGGCCUUUUAGUGUUAGAAACGCAACUGAACAAUAAUUCUUUUCAUGGUUGAGUUGAUUGAAAUUAGGGAAUAGCAUAUGGUGAGUGUCGCUGUUGAGAGUUUAGGUUAAUGGAGAGAAGCGGUGAAAGAAUAUUUUAUGUAUCAUUAAAUAUUUUGAACACCUACCUAGUUGAGUUUGAGCAUACACUGUUUCUAUUUACAUGUAUAGGAAUCCAAUUUUGUAAAUGCACUAUCUUUAUCCUUAGCUACAUGUCCAAAUUGGUGCUUAUUAGUUUUAAGAGUAUUUUAGGUUGCCAUCGCUUUUGGUUUAAGUUUGCUGGCCAUAUUCCUUUUUUUUUUUUUUUUACAUCAAGGCUAUUGGGAAUGUUUGAAAUUGUCAAGCUUGUAGUAACGAACAAGAUCUGACUCAAGUCUUUCAAAUGCUAGGCUUCAUUAAUAAAUUAGUUUUCAUUAAUAAAUUAAUAGGCAAUUUUAGGCACGUUUUAAAUGUAGAUCAUGUGUUCAUACACGAUCCUUGGUAAACAUUUAAUUAAUAAAAUGGUCAUGUGUGCAUUCUCAUUCCUUGACUCUUUAAUAAUAAAUUGUGUUUGAUCAUGCUUCUUACUCGUUCCUUGGUUAAAUGCAAAUAACUAAAUAAAGACUUUGUGUGCUUACACGCUCUUAGGCCAAAAUUAAUAAAAUUUGGUUAAAGCGGCAAUAUACAAUAGUAAUUGUAGGUAUAUAAUAAGCAGGUUAUCUAAAAUUAUUUAAGUCAAGUUUAAGUCGAUAAAACGACCGUGCUAGAACUACGGGAUUCGGGGAAUGCCUAACCUUCUCCCGAUCAACAAAAUUCCUUACCCGAAUUUUAUUUUCGCGGACCAAUAAAAAUAGAGUCAAACCUUCCUUUGACUAGGGAUUCAAAUAAAAGGUGACUUGGAAUACCAAAAAAUUAAUUCCAAGUGACGACUCUGUAAAUAAAAUAAUCUUUACUCAAAUUUGUCACUUCAAAUGGAAAAACUCUUUAACUCACAAUCCAUAAUAUAAUAUAUAUCUUUUGGGGUAAAAAGGGGGUGUGACAAGAACAUCAAUGUGGUGCCCAGCAACGAGGUGCCCAUGUUGACCCCAACGGAGUUCCAACCGCGGACCCGAUCGAUACUAACUCACAUGUGGCUAUCGAAGCAAACUUGCCAACCAAAUCCGAAAACAACAUUCGCGGGGAGCCUGAUCGAUAGUCCAGAGUACACACGAUGGCGAAGGCGAUGGGAUCAACUUGCGGGUGAUCUUUGAAAUGUUACAAGCUCAACAUGCAUCGAUAGCCCAGUUGCAGAACCAGAGUCGCGCCCCAGCAGAGUUGAGCCCGAACCGUCCCGGAAUAAUACUCGCAGAAAUGAACCAGUCACAGGAGCAUGGUGUGCUGCAAAAUAUGAGAUAGAAUAUGAAUUUGUACAAGCAUAUGAAGGAAGAUUAAACCACACCGACUAAAAUACUGCCAACCAAAUGAGUUUCCAAGAGGUAGAAAAGUCUGACAACAAAAAAAUCAAUUUGGUGGAGCAGGACGAGGAGCAGAUCUUCCUGCACAACGAAACAAGGAAAAUAAGGACUCUCUACCAGAAUAAAGGGGCAAGAAAGAGUUUCUCUUUUUUCCUUUUGCAAAGAUAGAAACACAUAAAUUACAACAGAAGACUACAACAUAAAAGGUUAAGUGUCAAAGGCAGCCAUUGAUGGAGAACUAAGACGAACUAGAGCUGCCAACCAAUAUAACAAUAAUAGAUAAAAUUGGAUGGCAACAAAAAAAGAAAGGCAACUUGAAAAAAAAUUACUACCUCAAUCCGAUACAUUGUACAGGAAGAAUGUUGCAUUAAAGCAAAAUGAAGAAAAGUUCUAUGCAAUGACUGUAUAUAUAAAAUUCUCAUUAUCAAAUAUGUAUCUGUAUGCAAAUUUCUAUACAAACAUUAAUAAUUUUGAAAAAUGGAAAGCAAUUUUCUAUUAUAGAUCAAAACACAGUGAUAGUGUAAGAAAAUCUCUACACUCAACAUAUUUAACUUAAAUCCAAACAAAAUCGGUAGACUGAGGUUUAAGCAAUUCUGCACGCCCUCUCCCCAGUUUCCCGUAAGAAUGUAAGAAACUCGGUCCAAAUCAUGUCCAAUGGGCAAUAGUUGAAUCUCAUGUCAAAAUUUCUGGCCUCAUAACAAACACACAAAACAAAAUAACACAAUUAAAAAUAUGACUAUUGUCUACAUAAACUACAAAUAAACUGUGGCUCUUUGGUGAAAAUACUAAUGCAAAAAAUCAGUGCUGCAAUUGCGUUUUCACUGUAACUAAAGUUUAUUAUCUUCUCAACCCACAAAUCUAGAAAUAGAAUCAAACUUAUCAGAAAGGAUUUCUGCCAAACCUCUAGCUCAAUUAGGAUUACUUAACUUCACCUGAUUAAUUGUAACGACCCGACAUGUCGUUUUGCUUUUUAGAACUCUGUUCCCCUAAUCAAGACUUUCCAUAUGUGCAUUCUCAAUUUUAUUACUUGUGGGGGCGGUUGGUUUAGUUUUGGAAGGGUUCGGGUUAAAUUCGGAACAUUUAGUUUCAUAAUAGUGGCCUAAGGUGGCCAAGUUUGACUUAAGUCAGCACUUUGAGUAAAUGUGACAACCCGACCUGUCACGACCCAAUUCUCUUAUAGGCCGUGAUGGUGCCCAACGCUACCGCUGGGCAAGCCAACAGUGAAUUAAACCAUGUUAUUUCUCUUUUAAUAAAUUUUCAAGUGAUUAAAUUCCAUUAAAUAAAAAGGUUACGAAACUGCAAAUUUGUAAAUAAAUAGACAAAAGCAGCUGAGUGCAAUCAUAACCAUAGAAUAAUCCAAAACCAUAUGUCUGUUAGUGUGUGUGCCAAGACCUGGUGUCAUAAGUGUAUGAGCAACUAAUAGAUUAUACAAAACUCUAGCCACUAUCUGAAAUAAAAAUAGACAGAAAUAAAUGUAAAGGAGAGAUUCUAGGUGCUGCGGAACGGCUCAGAAAGCAGCUCACCACUAGGCCUCGGGAUAUCUGGGAUGCGCGCCGGUAGUACCGCCAGAUGCACGUGCCUCAGAUCCUGCACGGUUAGUGCAGAAGUGUAGUGUAAGUACAUAAACAACAUGUACCCAGAAAGUAUCUAGUCUAACUUCGAAAAAGUAGUGACGAUGGGUCGACUUCGAUACUUACUAUGGGCUAGCAAUAUAAAUACAGAAAUUCUAACUAAGCAUGAGUUAUGUAAUUAAUAAUAAUAAUCCAUUAACAAGCAGGGGCAAAUAAUUCUUUCACAAGUUAAUAAAUUCCUGUCAUUGAUAAGUGUAACUUCCUAAGACACAAAAUAAUAUCAAGUAUGAUUAGGCUCCCAGUAUUAUUAAGCACCAUUUACGCGAAGGUCGUACGACCCGAUCCAGAAUAACGUGUACACUGCCGAGGGACGUGCGGCAUGAUCCAUAGAUGCAUCUAUCUACUGCCGCGGCGUUCGGCCCGCUCCACAAAAAGAGAGGAUACUUUAUAAGCAUUUGACUUAAACGUUAUAACAGGGCUAAUAUACAAUAUAAUAAAAUUUUCAUUAACGGUCAAAUAAUCCGCUAAAAAUUCAAGUAAGUGAAAUUCAGUCUUUUACAAUUUCUCUAACAAUUUCUACUAUAAUUUGGGGACUUAAAUUAACAAAUAGGAUGCAAACAUUACAUAUAAUCCAUAAUUUAGGUCCUAAGCUACCCGAACAUAAGCAUGAAUAGUAGCUACGCACGGACUCUCGUGGCUCAAGGCUCACUUUCCGGUCACAAUUUCGCUCUAAAGCCCCAACUCGGUGCCGAACAAUCCAAAACUAGUCAAAUGUUAUAUAAAUUAAUCAAUACAUGUUCAAAAGUUCAUAUUCUAACUAUUAGAGUGAUUACCCAACCCCAAUUGAAGGAUUCCUAAAAUUCAUCCCCGGGCCCACGUAUCCGAAUUUCGAAAUUUUUUAAAGGAAGUUGUCACCCAUAACCUCACGAACUUAAAUAUAUGAUUUUCACUCAAUUCCCUAACCAUUUUCGUGGUUAAAUCUCGUUUUUAUCAAAACCUAGGGUUUUCAUCUAAACCUAUAAUUUUCACAACUUACAUGUUAAAAUUUAUCCUUAAUCUAUGUACUUAACUUACAUUAGAUAGAAUUUACUUACCUCUAAGUGCUAGAUGAAAACCUCUCUCCAAGAGCUCCAAAAUCUCCCAAGAGAUGAAAGAAAAUGAGUCAAAAUAGCCUAAGUCCCGCAUUAAAUGGACUAUUCUGCCUCCAGGACUUUCGCAUCUGCGGUCCCUAGACCGCAUCUGUGGAAGGUUCAUCGCAGAUGCGGUCCUCCCUUGGCUGGCCUAAGUCCGCAUCUGCGGAACGAGGGUCGCUUCUGCGGCAGAUGAGCCGCACCUACGCAAGUCUCGCUUCUGCGGUCGCCUUGUUCGCAUUUACGAUUUCUGGCUGCCCAUGCUGGGCCGCUUCUGCGGUUGUUGGCUCUCUUCUGCGAGCUAGCACCUGCGGUUGGCCCUCCGCAGGUGCGGUUACACCAAAAGUUGGGUGCUUCAGCUGUUCACCCAUGGCUAAGCGACCUCUACGCAUCGUCCGAAUGGCAUCUGGGGCCCCCAAGGCCCCGUCCAAACAUGCCAACAAGUUUGAAAUCAUAAAACGGACUCGCUCGCACCCUUGGAACGCGGAAAACAACAUCAAAACUAAGAAUCAUACCUCAAACCAAAUUGAAUCAACUUAUGAACUUCAAGUUCUUCCAACUUAUUCCGAACGCGCCGAAACAUACUUAAACUACUCAGAAUGACACCAAAUUUUGCGUGCAAGUCUUAAAUUACCAUACAGAACUAUUCCCAGACUCGAAAUCCCAAACGGACCUCGAUAACACCAAAACCUACUCUAAACCAAAUUUAAAGAACUUCUAAACUUUCAAUAAACAACUUUUAACCUUAAGAGCCGAAAUGCUCCCAGGUCAUCCAAAACUCGAUCCGAUCAUACGCCCAAGUCCAAAAUUAUCAUACGACCUGUUGGGAUCGUCAAAUCCCGGUUCCGAGGUCGUUUACUCAAAAUGUUGACCAAACUCAAACUUAGCCCUUUUUGCCAACCUUAAGGAACCAAGUGUUCCGAUUUUAACCCGAACUCUUCCAAAUCCCGAACUAACCAUCCCCGCAAGUCAUAAAAUAGUAAAAGCACAUACGGGGAGUCUUAUUUAGGGGAACGGGGAUCUAAAAAGCAAAACGACCGGUCGGGUCGUUACAUUCUCCACCUCUUAAACAAACGUUCGUCCUCGAACGGGUCUAGAAUCAUACCUGGAGUGCUGAAUAAGUGCGGAUAUCUGCUCCGCAUGUCCUCCUCGGUCUCCCAAGUCGCCUCCUCGCCUGGUGGACCCCUCCACUGAACCUUUACUACAUAAAUCUUCUUAGACCUCAACUAGCAAACCUGUCUGUCAACAAUGACAACUAGCUCCUCCUCAUAACCGAGGCUCUCAUCCAACUGAACCGUGCGGAAGUCUAACACAUGCGACCCGUCGGCAUGAUACCUCCGGAGCAUAGACACGUGGAAAAUCGGGUGAACUCCUGAUAGACUGGGAGGCAAAGCAAGCUCAUAAGAGACCUCCCCAACACGUCUCAAUACCUCAAAUGGGCCUAUAAACCUUGGGCUCAACUUGCCAUUCUUUCUGAACCUCAUGAUUCCCUUCAUCGACAAGAUUUUCAAGAGAACCUUCUCGCCCACCAUAAACUGUAAAUCACGCGCCUUCUGAUCCGCGUAACUCUUCUAUCUGGACUGUGCUGUGCGAAGCUGCUCCUAAAUCAACUUUACCUUUUCCAAGGCAUCCUUCACCAAAUCAGUACCAUAUAACUUAGCCUCGCCGGGCUCAAACCACCCGAUGGGAGAACGACAUCGCCGACCAUAUAAAGCCUUAAAUGGAGCCAUCUCAAUGCUGGACUGAUAACUGUUGUUGUAAGCAAACUUGGCCAAAGGCAAGAAUCGAUCCCACUGCCCUCCGAAGUCAAUCACACAUGCUCUGAGCAUAUCUUCUAAGAUUUGAACUGUCCGCUCCGACUGCCCGUCGGUCAGCAGAUGAAAGGCUGUGCUGAGCUCUACCCGAGUCACCAACUCACUCUGUACUGCCCUACAAAAAUGUGAAGUAAACUGAGGGCCUCUAUCUGAUAUGAUGGAUAUAGGCACACCAUGCAACUGAACAAUCUCCUAGAUAUAAAUCUGGGCCAACUUAUCUGAAAAUACGUGGUCAUAACCGGAAUGAAGUGUGCCGACUUGGUCAACCUGUCGACAAUGACCCAAACUAUAUCAAACUUCCGCAAGGUCCGCGGUAACCCAACUACGAAGUCCAUAGUAAUGCGCUCCCAUUUCUACUCAGGUAUAGUCAUCUGCUGAAGUAGGCCACCUGGCCUCUGAUGCUCAUACUUGACCUGCUGGCAAUUUAGGCACCUUGACACAUACUCAACUAUGUCCUUCUUCAUCUGCCGCCACCAAUAAUGCUACCUCAGGUCGCGAUACAUCAUAGUAGCACCUGGAUGAAUAGAAUACUGAGAGCUGUGUGCCUUAUCUAGAAUCUUCUCCCUCAAGCCAUCAACAUUAGGAACACAUAGGCGACCCUGGUGUCACAGAACACCAUCCUCACCGAGAGUAACCUCCUUGGCACCCUGUAGUACCGUCUCUCUGAGAACCAACAAGUGCGGGUCAUCGAACUGGCGAGCCUUGAUCUGCUCGAAUAGUGAAGACUGAGCAACGACGCAUGGAAGAACUCGGCUGGGCUCUGAAAUAUCCAACCUCACAAGUCUGUUAACCAAGGAUUGAAUGUCCAAAGCUAGUGGCCUCUCCUCUGCUGAAAUGAAUGCCAAACUACCCAUACUUUCCGCCUUUCUGCUCAAGGCAUCCGCAACUAUAUUAGCCUUGCCCGGAUGAUAAAGGAUGGUAAUAUCAUAAUCCUUUAGUAACUCAAGCCACCUGCGCUGCCUCAAAUUGAGAUCCCUAUGCUUGAACAAAUGCUGCAAGCUGUGAUGAUCGGUGUAAACCUCACAGGACACCCCGAUCUUAAGUGCAUGGACAAUUGCAGCCAACUCCAAAUCGUGUACCGGAUAAUUCUUCUCGUGGGGCUUCAGCUGACGUGAAUUAUAUGCAAUAACUUGCCCCUCCUGCAUCAGUAUACAACCCAAACCAACGCGUGAAGCAUCGCAAUACAAAGUAUACGUCCCUGAACCGGAAGGCAACACUAACACUGGUGCUGAAGUCAAUGCGGUCUUGAGCUUCUGAAAGCUCACCUCACAAUCACCGGACCAUCGGAACGGAACACCCUUCCGGUUCAAUCUAGUCAAAGGUGUUGCAAUAGAUGAGAAGCCCUCCACAAACCGGCGAUAAUAACUUGCUAACCCCACGAAGCUCCUGAUCUCAGUCGUUGUGGUAGGACGAGGCCAACUCUGAACUGCCUCAAUCUUCUUGGGAUCAAGCUUAAUACCCCCGGCUGAUACAACAUGCCCCAAGAAUGCUACAAAAUCUAGCCAAAACUCGCACUUGGAGAACAUAGCAUAUAGCUUCUGUCCCCGCAAGGUCUGAAGCACCACUCUCAAAUGUUGCUCGUGCUCCUCCAUGCUACGCGAGUAGAUCAAAAUGUUGUCAAUGAAGACAAUGACACAUGAAUCAAUAUAUGGCCUGAACACCCGCUUCAUCAAAUCCAUAAACGCCGUCGGGGUGUUAGUCAAGCCAAAGGACAUCACUAGAAACUCAUAAUGGCCAUAUCUAGUCCGGAAAGCCGUCUUCGGAACAUCCGAAUCUUGAAUCUUCAACUGAUGGUACCCUGAUCUCAAGUCGAUCUUAGAGAACACCCUGGCACCCUAGAACUGGUCAAACAAAUCAUUAAUACGCGGCAACGGGUACUUGUUCUUGAUGGUAACCUUGUUCAACUGGCGGUAAUCAAUGCACAUCAGCAUAUUCCCAUCUUUCUUCUUCAUAAAUAACACUGGUGCACCCCAAGGCGAUAUUCCUGACAAACCCUUUUGCUAGCAACUCCUCAAGCUUCUCCUUCAACUAUUUUUGAACCAUGCGGUAUGGUGGGAUAGAUAUAGGCUGGGUACGAGGAGUCAAAUCAAUACAGAAAUCAAUAUCACGAUCUGGUGGCAUGCCUGGAAAAUCAGAAGGAAACACAUCGGAGAACUCCCGGACCACGGACACUGAAUCAAUCGCUGGAGUCUCUGUGGUAGUAUCCCGAACAUAGGCCAGAUAAGCCAAACAACCCUUCUCGACCAUGUGUCGAGCCAUCAGAAAAGAAAUAACCUGACUAGAUGUACUGACAGACGAACCCUUCCACUCCAAUCUAGGCAACUCUGGCAUCGCCAAGGUAACAGUCUUGGCAUGAUAAUCAAGGAUGGCAUGAUAUGGAGAGAACCAGUCCAUGCCCAAGAUGACCUCAAAGUCGAUCAUAUCGAGCAACAGAAGAUCCGCUCUAGUCUAAUAACCACAGAAUGUAAGAAUGCAGGACCAGUAGAUCUGAUCCACAAUAACAGAAUCUUCCACAUGAGUGGACACAUAAAUAGGAGUACCCAAGGACUCACGAGUAACACCUAAAAAAUGAGCAAACAGAGAUGAAACAUAUGAAUAUGUAGAUCCUGGGACAAAUAAUACUGAAGCAUCCCUACCGCAGAAAGAAAUAAUACCUAUGAUCACAGAAUCUGAGGCCACUGCAUCUGGUCUGGCCGGAAACACAUAGAACCUAGCUGGAGCGCUACCUGACUGGCCUCCACCUCUAGGACGACCCCUACCCGCCUGCCUUCCACCUUUGGGUGGCCGAGCGACUGGUUGGGCAGUUGGUGCUGUAAUCAUAGGCUGCUGACCCUGCUGCACUGCCUUGACCUGAAGUCUGGGGCAGAACUUCCGCACAUGACUGAGAUCCUCGCACUCGAAAUAACUUCUCGGUACGGUGAGCUGCUAACCUGAAGUCUGACCCUGAUGGCCUGAAUACCCACUGGAGUAACACUGAAUAGCUGGUGGGCGGUAGGAACUCUCUGGCAUGGCACUGAAAUAGGGCCUCACUAGAGCACCCCGAGGAGGCGGCGAUGCUGGAUAUGCGGGCCUGCUAGACUGACCCCUCACGAAUUGACCCCUUCCCCCAGCUGGGGCACCUUUGUACUCUCCCGAAUACUGAAACCGCUUAUCCCUCAUAGCCUUCUCCCGGCUACGUUAACGUACACCCUUGAUCCUCCGAGCUAUCUCUACAACUAGCUCGUAAGAAGUCCCUAUCUCAACCUCCAGGGCCAUGAUGGUCUGAAUGCCAGUGUGCAAACCUACAACAAACCUCUUCACUCUCUCUACAUUGGUGGAAAUGAUCAUAAGUGCAUGGCGAGACAACUCAGAGAACCUCGCCUCAUAGUUGGUCACUGACAUCUGACCCAGCUGGAGCUGCUCGAACUGAAACCGUAACUCUUCCCUCUAAGAGGGUAAAAUAUAUAUGUCUAGGAAAAUACGGGUGAACCGGUCCCAAGUAAUGGGAGGAGAAUCUACUGGUCUACCAAGAAGAUAUGACUGCCACCACCUACGAGCCCUGCCCUCCAGCUGGAAAGUGGUAAAAUCCACCCCAUGGGACUCCAAUAUCCUCAUGUUGUGCAGUCUGUCCCUGCACCGAUCAAUAAAGUCCUGGGGGUCCUCAUGUCGCUCACCUCCAAAGACAGGGGGAUGAAGCCUAGUCCAUCUAUCCAAUAGCUUCUGUGGAUCACCGGUCGCAGCUGGUCUGAGCUCAGGUAUAGCUGUUGCAACUGGCUGAGCUCCUCCCACGGGUAAUGUGCCCGGGGUCUGCUAUACGGCAGUUGCAUGCCCUGAAGCCUGAGCUGUAGGGGUUUGUGCUCCCCCUCCCUGCUGAGAUGUGGUUGGAUCUGCUGGAAAUAAACCAGCCUGGGUCAUAAAAUCCAUAAACCGCACCAUACGGCCCAUGACCUCCUAGAAUCCCGGUGCAGACAUGAAAUCCACCGGGGCUGGCUCUGCUAUAGGAACCUCGCCCUGCUCCUUAAUAAUAGGAUCCUCUACUGGAUCCAUGAGUGGCAUAGCAGGGGCAACACUGGGACGUCCUCGUCCCCUACCAUGGGCUGGAGACCUCCCUCGACCUCUGCCUCUAGCAACAGGGGGAGUAGCCUCUCCAUGGUCUGGAACAUCCGUUGUGCUUGUUCUCACCAUCUGUGACAGAAUAAGAGAAAAAUACUUAGUACCACAUCAACUGCACGAUAGGAGAUGGAGAAAAAGUAGUUUUCUAACACCCUAUAGCCUCUCGAAGAUAUGUACAGACAUCUCCGCACCAAUCCGGAAGACUCUAUUAGGCCUGCUCAUAACUUGUGAGACCUACGUGAACCUAGUUCUCCGAUACCAUGUUGUCACGACCCAAUUCUUUUAUAGGCCGUGAUGCCGCCCAACGCUACCGCUAGGCAAGCCAACAAUGAAUUAAACCAUGUUAUUUCUCUUUUAAUAAAUUUUCAAGUGAUUAAAUUCCAUUAAACAAAAAGGUUAUGAAAUCGCAAAUUUGUAAAUAAAUAGACGAAAGCAGCUGAGUGAAAUCAUAACCAUAAAAUAAUCCAAAAUCAUAUGUCUGCUAGUGUGUGUGCCAAGACCUGGUGUCACAAGUAUAUAAGCACAAAUAGAUUAUACAAAACUCUAGCCACUGUCUGAAAUAAAAAUAGACAGAAAUAAAUGUAAAGGAGAGACUUUAGGUGAUGCGGAAUGGCUCAGGAAGCAGCUCACCACUAGGCCUCGGGAUAUCUGGGAUGCGCGUCUGUAGUACCGCCAGAUGCACCUGCCUCAGAUUCUGCAUGGUUAGUGCAGAAGUGUAGCCUAAGUACAUAAACAACAUGUACCCAGUAAGUAUCUAGUCUAACCUCAAAGAAGUAGCGAUGAGGGAUCGACUUUGACACUUACUAUGGGCUAGCAAUAUAAAUACAGAAAUUCCAACUAAGCAUGAGUUAUGUAAUUAAUAAUAAUAAUCCAUUAACAAGCAGGGGCAAAUAAUUCUUUCAGAAAUUAAUAAAUUCCCGUCAUUGAUAAGUGUAACUUCCUAAGCCACAAAAUAAUAUCAAGUAUGAGUAGGCUCCCAGUAUUAUUAAGCACGAUUUAUGCCGAUGUCGUACGGCCCGAUCCAGAAUAACGUGUACCCUGUUGAGAGACGUGCGGCAUGAUCUAUAGAUACAUCUAUCUACUGCCGAGGCGUUUGGCCUGCUUGAUAAGAAGAGAGGAUAUUUUAUAAGCAUUUGACUUAAAUGUUAUAACAGGUCUAAUACACAAUAUAAUAAAAUUUCCAUUAACGGUCAAGUAAUUCGCUAAAAAUUCAAGUAAGUGAUCUUUUACAAUUCCUUUAACAAGUUCUAAUAUAAUUUGGGCACUUAAAUUAACAAAUAGGGUACAAACAUUACUUGUAAUCCAUGAUUUGGGUCCUAAGCUACCCGAACAUAAGCAUGAAUAGUAUCUACGCACGGACUCCCAUCACCUCGUAAAUACGUAGCCCCCACAAUUAGAAGCAAAUAUUAAUUUAAAUCACCUAUGGGGUAAAUUCCCUCUUACAAGGUUAGACAAGAGACUUACCUCGUCUCAAGGCUCACUUUCCAAUCACAAUUUCGCUCUAAAGCCCCAACUCGAUGCCGAACAAUCCAAAACUAGUCAAAUGUUAUAUAAAUUAAUCAAUACAUGUUCAAAAGUUCAUAUUCUAACUAUUAGAGUGAUUACCCAACCCCAAUUGAAGGAUUUCUAAAAUUUAUCCCCGGGCCCACGUGCCCAGAUUCCGAAAGCUUUUGAAGGAAGUUGUCACCCUUAACCUCACGAACUCAGAUAUAUAAUUUUUACUCAAUUCCCUAACCAUUUUCGUGGUUAAAUCUCGUUUUUAUCAAAACCUAGGUUUUUCAUCUAAACUCAUAAUUUCCACAAUUUACAUGUUAAAAUCUACCCUUAAUCUAUGUAUUUAACUUACAUUAGAUAGAAAUUACUUACCUCCGAGUGCUAGGCGAAAACCCCUCUCCAAGAGCUCCAAAAUCGCUCAAGAGGUGAAAGAAAAUGAGUCAAAAUAGCCUAAGUCCCGCAUUAAAUGGACCAUUCUGCCUCUAGGACUUCCGCAUCUGUGAUCCCUGGGCCGCAUCUGCGGAAGGUUCAUUGCAUAUGCGGUCCUCCCUUGGUUGGCCUAAGUCCGCAUCUGCGGAACGAGGGUCGCUUUUGAAAGUCCCCUCCUGCGGCAAAUGAGCCGCACCUGCGCAAGUCUCACUUCUGCGGUCGCCUUGUCUGCAUCUGCGGUUUUUGGCUGCCCAUGCUGGACCGCUUCUGCGAUAUCGCACCUACGGUUGGCCCUCCGCAAGUGCAGUUAUACCAGAAGCUGGGUGCUUCAGCUGUUCACCCAUGGCUAAGCAACCUUUACGCAUCGUCCGAAUGGCAUCCGGGGCCCCCGAAGCCCCGUCUAAACAUGCCAACAAGUUUGAAAUCAUAAAACGGAAUCGCUCUCACCCUCAGAAUGCGGAAAAUAACAUCAAAACUAAGAAUCACACCCAAACCAAAUUGAAUCAACUUAUGAACUUCAAGUUCUUCCAACUUACUCCGAACGUGCCGAAACAUACUUAAACUACUCGGAAUGACACCAAAUUUUGCGUGCAAGUCUUAAAUCACCACACUGAAUUAUUUCCAGGCUUGGAAUUCCAAACGGACCUCAAUAACACCAAAACCUACUCUAAACCAAAUUUAAAGAACUUCUAAACCUUCAAUAAGCAACUUUCAACUUUAAGCGCCGAAAUGCUCCCAGGUCAUCCAAAACCAAUUUGAACAUACGCCCAAGUCCAAAAUCAUCAUACAAACCUAUUGGGGUCGUCAAAUCCCAGUUUUGAGGUCGUUUACUUAAAAUGUUGACCAAAGUGAAAAUUAGCCCUUUUUGCCAACCUUAGGGAACCAAGUGUUUCGAUUUCAACCCGAACCCUUCCAAAUCACGAACUAACCAUCCCCGCAAGUCAUAAAAUAGUAAAAGAACAUACAUGGAUUCUUAUUUAGGGGAACGGGGAUUUAGAAAGCAAAACAACCGGUCGGGUCAUUACACAACCGGUCAUUUUGUGUAAUUGCAUCUCGUUUCCCUUUUGAUUUUUCACACUUGUGUGUUUAUGGUUUUAUGACUUACCGGAUUGAUUAGUUUCAUUCCUAGAAGAUUUUGAGUUGAUUUGGACCCUUUGAUUCUUGACAUAGAAGCUUAAGUUAAAAAAACAAAUUGACAAAACUUUGAAUUUUGUGAAAACGAUCCCGAAACGGUGUUUUGAUGGCUCUGAUAGCUUCGUAUCAUAUUUUUUGACUUGGGCAUAUGCCCGAAAUCGAACUCGAAAGUCUGUAGAUUGAUUUGUGUUAUUUUACCGAAAUGUGGCAAUUUGAAGUUGAAAAGUUUGACCGUAGGUUGACUUUUAUCUAUCGAGUUCGGAAUUUGAUUUUGAGACUUGGAAUAGGUCUGUUGUGCUAUUUUGAAAUUGUCUACAAAAUUUGGUAUCAUUUGGAGUUGAACUGAUAGGAUUCAGAUGCUUAGUUGCAAUUCUAGUAGUUCUUGAACUUUACUUGGAAUUUCAUGUGUUUUAGUGUUCGAUUCGUAGUUCUAGAUAUUAUUUUUGUGUUUUGAUCACACGAGCGAUUUCGUGUGAUGUUUUUAGAUUUGUUCGGAUGUUUGGUUCUCGAAUGAGUUUCGGACAUGUUUCGAAAUGAAUUGAACUGAAAAUGAAUUGUCGGUGUUACUAGUGCUCUGUUAUCGCAAUUGCGAGCACCGGUCUCGCAAUUGCAAGGUGAAAGGAGGUCUCUGAUGUCGCAAUUGCGGCUGGCCUCUUCGCAAUUGCAAAGUCAGUAGGCCUUAGGCAUGGGUCGCUUUUGCGAACAAUUGUUCGCUUUUGCGAAGAAGUCCAGCUUUGCAAUUGCAACAAUUGUUGAGGCUGUCAGGGUUCGCAAAUGCGAUCCCUGGUCCGCAAAUGCGAACCCUGUUUCGCAAAUGCGACAUCUACAGCUGGACUAAAGGGCUGGGAGUCGGGAUUUUCAACAUAUUCUCUCAUUUUAGAAUCCUAAACUCGGUAAGAGGCGAUUUGGAGAGGAGAUUUUUAUCUACAAACAUUGAGUAAGUGAUUCUACUCAAUUUUCAACUAUAUUUCAUCAAUAUAUCUUAGAUUUAACAUUAAAAAUUAUGUGAAUCAAAGUGGAAAUUUGUGAAACUUUGUCAAGUUUUUGAAAAUAAGAAUUUGAGUUUUGAGAUUUGAUUUGGACUCGGAUUUUGAAAAUAAUCACAUAUAUGAACUCGUGGGGUUAUGGGUAGUCGGAAUCUACCCUUGGACCUGAGUUUUGACCGGGCGAGCCCUGAGUUGACUUUUGUUGACUUUUUUGGGAAAAGUGUAAAGAUCAUAGCUUUAUUUAUUGUAAUUUUUUUCCCUUGCAUUGUUUGAUGAUACUAAGUCAAUUUUGGUCAGAUUUGAGCCGUGUGGAGGCGAAUUUUAGGGAAAAAGCUAUUUUCGAGGAUUGAGUUAGCCUAGUUGAGGUAAGUAUCUUGCCUACCUUUGUGUGCGGGAACUCCUCCUUAGGAUUUGGGAUUGAUUGUGUCAUUUGGGCUAUGUGAAAGCCGUGUACGCAAGGUGACGAGUGGGUACACGAGUUAUAUGUGAUAUUUGGCUGGUUUAGGCUACUUAGACUCUUUCCAUGCUUUAAUUAAAUUGUCAUAUCAUGUUCUAAAUUCUCAUAGUCAAUCUACUCUUACUUGUGUUGGUCUAUCCUUACAUGCCUUAAAUGAGUUUGUCAACACUUGUUCUACCUCUUACUUGUUGUUUUGCUCUUAUAUGCCUAGUUGAAAAUGUUUCCUCUUUCAUUAUUACAUGUUAUCUCUCUCAUUGUUGAGUUAUCGUAUUUGAAGUCAUUGUUACAUGUUGUUUCUUUCAUUAUUGUUUAUUUGAAGUCAUUGUUACAUGUUUUCUUUUCCAUUGUCGAUUUAUCAUUAUUGAAGUCAUUGUUACAUGUUAUCUAUUUCAUUAUCGAUUAUCCUUAUUUGAAAUUAUCGUUACAUGUUAUCUCUUCCAUUAUGAGUUAUUCUUAAUUAAUAUCGUGGUUAUACAUUAUCUCUCUCAUUGUUGGGUUAUUGGUGUUGAAGUUGUGAAAGCCGUUAUCACAUUGAUGCGAAGUUGUUAAUUGUUAAGAUAUCUUUCUUGUUGAGAAAUUUACAAACAUUGUUAUUGUUGAUGUUCUUGUACACAUUGGGGUUGAGCCAUGGGCUAUUGUUGUGCACAUAUUAGUAUUGUUGAUUAUUGACAAGUUUUGACAUAUGGGCACUUGUGGUGCGAGUUGUUAUUGUGAUGUGAUAUUGAUGCGCAUGCGGCGGUAUAAGGAUAAGGGUUAAUAUGCAUGCGGCGGCAUAAGGUGGGACUUAUGUACGUGUUGCUUGUAAGGGAAUUACUUGAAGCCACGCGGCGUCAUAAGGUGGGCUAAAGUACAUUUAUCCAUUUCGGAAAAAAUAUUUUCAAAACUAUUUAAAUGUAAGGCUCACACGGCAGUAUAAGGAAAGAUUGUGAUUAAAAAUGAGAAAUGUGAAUAUGAGGCGGUACCUCGGUUGUGAUUCUUGUUGUAUACGAGGCGGUACCUCGGUUUUGAUUCUUGUUGUGUACGAGGCGGUACCUCGUUUGUGAUUCUUGUUGUUUAUCUCAUGUUGUAAAGAGUUGUUGGUAAAACACUUCUUGUUGCUUUUAUUCUUCCUUGUCUUAUCAGUUUGGAUCCGUAUUUGACUAUGGUGGUUCUCUUUAAUUGCUUCUUUUAUGUUAUCUCUAUGCUGACAAUUCUGGCAUUAGUCUAUGUUAUUAACUUAUUUCGUAUCAGUUAUUUCUCCGCCUUCCAUUACUUCUCGUUAUUAUAUUUUUAUUGUGUUUAUUAUGUCCUAGUAGAUGUCUUGACCUGGCCUCGUCACUACUCUACCGAGGUUAGACUUGAUACUUAUUGGGUACCCUCGUGGUGUAUUCAUUCUACACUUCUGCACAUCUUUUUAUGUAGAUCCAGGUACGUCUGCUCGUGAUGGACGUUAGUAAUUGGUUGUAGCUGAUUUUUCGGAGACUUCAAGGUAUACCUGCUCGGUGUCCACAUGCCUCGGAGUCACCUUCCUUAGUCUUUCUUUUCUGUUGUAUUUCUCGUUCAGAUAGUGUUGUAGUAGACAUUCUAGUUUAUUCUGUAGAGCUUAUGACUCAGUUCCACUAGUUUUGGGAAGUGUGUUGUUGAGAUCCUAUUUUGGAAGGUUAUAUGAGUUUAUCAGUCUUGCUUUAGUUUUUUGUAAAUUAUUUCUGUCAAGUUAUUAUUAAAUGUUAUGCUUACCUAAUCUUAGAGAUUAGGUGCCAUCGCGACAUUCUAAAGAGGAAAAUUAGGAUCGUGACAGUAAACGACCUUGGAAUCGGGGUUUAAAGGUUCGUAUGGUAAUUUUGUACUUGGACAUAUAUUGAGGUCGAGUUUCGGGUGGACCGGGAGCGUUUCAUCGCUUAUUAUUGGAAGUUGACAUUUUGAAGGUUUUAGAGUUUUUUAAGUGUGAGACUUUGGUGUUAUCAGAUUCUGUUUGGUAUUCUAAGCCUCGAGAUAGGUUUGUAUUGUCAUAUUGGACUUGUAUAUAACAUUUUGUGUGAUUCCGAGUUGUCUAAGUAUGAUUCGUCGCAUUCAGUGUUACUUGGAAGAAGUUUGAAGUUUAGAAGUUGAUUAAUUUUGUUUGGGGUGUGAUUCUUGGUUGCGAUAUUUUUGUAUGUGUUUUGAGUCCUCGAGUAGGUCCAAAUUAUGUUUAUGAACUUGUUGGUAUAAUUGGACGGGGUCCCGAGUGGCUCGGGUAAGUCUCGGACCACCCGGCGCAAUGUAGAAGUUGGCAGAUUUUUGUUGGUGCUGGUGUGCUUCACGAUCGCAAAGGGAGUUCCACGAUCGCGAUGAAGAUUUGGAGGACGGAUAACUGUUUCUCUUCACGUAUGUGAAUAUGGCUCCACGAACACGAUGGAGGACCCGACUCCUCUUUGCGAUGCGGAGGAGCCUACGCGAACAUGAAGAGGGAAGAGGAAGGAAGUGGACAUGCAAGCUAGGCCUUCGCGAAUGCAGCAAAGGGGACCCCAAACGCAAAGGGUUGGGAGGCUAUUUCUCUUCGCGAACACGAUUGGGGCAUCGCUAACGCAAUGAAGGCAGACCUGGGUAGGGCAGCUUUGGCCUUCGCGAUCGCGAGGAUUAUUCCGCGAUCGCGAUAAAGGAUGCCUAGGCAGAAUGUGAUUUUUUAUACGGGACUUAGACUCAUUUUACCCUAUUUUCUCUUGUCUUGGCCGAGUUGGGAGCUCUUUGAAGGACCAUUUUCACCAAGUGUCUUUAGGUAAACGAUUUCUACAUAUUGUGAGUAAAAUGCAUGGAUUUGGUGUGGCUUUUAAUUUGGAAAUUAGUAGAAUUUUGGGAUUAUGUUGAAAAUCCUAGAAUUUGGUAAAAAUGAGAUUCGACCAUGAAAUUAUUUAUGGAAUUUGGUAUAAAUUAUAUAUUUGAGUUCGUAACUCCAUGGGUAACAUUUAACUUUAAAAAUUUAUAGAAUCCGGGCACGUGGGCCUGGGGUUAACUUUUAUUGACUUUUCUAGUGGGGUUGGAAAUUGACUCUAAACUUGAAUUAUUAGUUUUUGAGCAUAUAUUGAUUGGUUUGUACGUCCUUUUGACUAGUUUGUAAUUGCUCGGCGUCUAUUUGAGGUGUUAGUGAGGUGUGCGAGCCGAGUAAUGGGCUUGAAAGCAAGGUAAGUCUCUUGUUUAAUCCUGUACGAGGGAAUUAUCCCUGUAGGUAUCUUAUUUUAUUGUAUGCCACAUGUUAUGGGUGCUAUAUACGUACCAGGUGACGAGUGUCCGUGCGUUAGCUAGAUUUAUGUGUAUGUCCGAGUAGAUUUAAAUCUACAUUAUGCCUUAAUUGUAUUGCUUGAAUUAAACUUGCUUGUUUGAUCAUUUGAAUUCAUAAUUGAGAUUGAGACUAGAAUUUAUGUGCUGACCUAGGCUAUUUACUUUGAAUUUUAUGGGAUAUUUGAUGGUCGGUAACAAUUAUGUUUUCUUUUGAAUUCCUAUCCUCGUUGUGUUUAUGUGAUUGGUAGUUCCGUAUCUUCUCAAUUUGCAUGUAUCUUUUCGAGUGGAUAAGUUUAUCUAUUCCUAUGGGAUCAGGCCGUUCGUCUCGGCAGUGUUAUGAAAUAUCAUUAUGGGAUCUGGUCGUUCUCCUCGACAGUAUUAUGAGAUGCAUAUGUGGAUCGAGACGUACGACCUUGACGGUAUUGUGUAGUAGUAUUCUUAAGGGAUCAGAUCGUUCGCCUCGGCAGAAUCGUGCGUAAUAUUCGCUAGGGAGUCAACGUAUAUAUGAGUUUUUCUGACUUAACAUUUGACAUUGUAUUUGAUAUUGGUUGUCCUUGUUUGCUUUGAGGCAGUUUAUGGUAUUUGAUGAUUCCGUAAUUAUUCUUACUUGAUAAUCAUAUUAUUUAUAUUUAUCUGUUUCAUUGCUACUUGUUGUGUUUCUUACCUGUCUACUUUAUGUAUAUUAUUAUUGGACCAUUAGUAAGUGUCAAUGUCGACCCCUCGUCACUACUACUUCAAGGUUAGACUAGAUACUUACUGGUUACGCGUUGAUUUACGUACUCGUACUACACUUAUGUACUACUUGUGUAGGUACCAAUACAGGUACAUCAGGUGGUCACUCGGGCACGUAGCCACAUUAGCUGGAGAUUUAGUGGUGAGCUGUUUUCCAUGCUUCGACCCGGAUCACCCUGAGUCUCCUUUCUCCUAUGUUUAUUUUAUUCUGUCUUUUUUUAUUCCAGAUAGUAGUUAUAGUGGUUUUCUAUAUUCUACUAGAUGCUCAUGCAUUUGUGAUACUGAGUUUUGGAGAUUUUUAGUAGAUGUUUAUGGUUGUACCUAAUAUUUAUAUCAUUACGCUUUAUGUUUUGUUUAUACUUCGAGACUUAGUAAGAAUGAAAGUAGUUUUUAUCAUGGUUUCUAAACUUAAUUCUAUUUUAUUAAUGAAUUCUUGAUUUUAAAAGUGUUAUGAAUGGAUGAUUGUGUUGGUGGUUUACCGUUAGCUUGUCUAAAGGCAGCGUUGGGUGCCAUCACGGCCUAUGAUGGGAACUGGGUCGUGGCAGCUUGGUAUCAGAGCACUAGGUUCACAUAGGUUUCACGAGUCAUGAGCAGACUCAGUAGAGUCUUGCAAAUUGGUGCGGAGAUGCUCAUACUUAUCCGCUACCGCAAAUUAAGGUCUUUCUGCUUGAACAGAUUCUGGAGACACCGAUGGUUUGUAUAGACCUCACAUGGUACGCCGUAUGGAUAGUGCCUCUAAAUCUUAAGCGCGUGAAUAAUGGCUGCCAACUCUAAGUCAUGCACAUGGUAAUUCUUUUCAUGAACCUUCAACUGCCGAGACGCAUAGGCAUUCACCCUACCAUCCUGCAUCAAUACCACACCAAGCCCAAUACGUGAUGUAUCACAAUACACAACGUAAGAUCCCAAACUUGUAGGCAACACCAACAUUGGGGCUGUAUUCAAUGCAGUCUUGAGCUUCUUAAAGCUCAACCACACUUGUCGGACCACCUGAAAAGAGCACCCUUCUCGGUCAACUUGGUCAAUGGGUCUGAGAUAGAUGAAAACCCCUCCACGAAUCGGCGAUAAUAACCCACCAAACCAAAGAAGCUCCGAAUCUCUAUAGCUGAAGUAGGUCUAGGUCAGUUCUGAACUUCCUCAAUCUUCUUAGAAUCCACCUUAAUUCCCUCGGAAGAUACAACAUGGCCCAAAAAGGCAAUCGAGUCCAACUAGAACUCACACUUUGAAAACUUGGCAUAUAACUGACGAUCUCUCAGAGUUUGAAGUACAAUCCGCAGAUGCUGCUCGUGCUCCUUUCGACUGUGGGAGUAAACCAAAAUAUCAUCAAUGAAGACGAUCACAAAAGAAUCCAAAUAGAGCUUGAUACCCAGUUCAUCAAAUCCAUAAAUGUUGUUGUGGCAUUAGUCAAGCCAAAUGACAUCACUAAAAACUCAUAGUGACCAUACCAAGUCCAAAAAGCUGUCUAAGGGACAUUUGAUUCCCUAAUCUUCAACUUAUGGUAGCCAGAUCUCAAGUUAAUCUUGGAAAACAUCUUGGCACCCUGAAGCUGAUCAAAUAAGUCAUCAAUCCUCGGCAAGGGAUAUUUGUUCUUGAUAGUGACUUUGUUUAACUGCCGAUAGUCUAUACACAUGCUCAUCGUUCCAUCCUUCUUCUUCUCCUUUACAAACAAUACUGGUGCACCCCAAGGCGAGACACUCGGUCUAAUAAAUCCCUUAUCAAGCAAAUCCUGCAACUGCUCCUUCAAUUCCUUCAACUCAAUUGAGGUCAUACGAUAUGGUGCGGUUGAAAAGGGCUGAGUGCCUGAAACCAAGUCAAUGCAGAAGUUGAUAUCUCUAUCGAGUGGCAUCCCCGACAAAUCUGUAGGAAACACCUCUGGAAACCCACACACAACUAGUACUGAAUACAUGGAAGUAACCUCCAUACUAGGAUCACAGAUAAGGCCAAAUAAGCUAGACAUCCCUUCUCGACCAAACGCCGAGCCUUCACAUAAGAAAUGACCCUACUAGUAGAAUGGCCAGGAGUCCUUCUCCACUCUAAUUGAGGCAACCCCGGUGUGGCUAAUGUCACAGUCUUGGCAUGACAGUCCAAAAUAGCGUGAUAAGGUGAUAGUCAAUACAUGCCUACAAAAUUCACCAUAUCAAGAAGUAGAAGGUCUACCCUAGUCUCACAGCUCCCGAUAGUAACCAAACAAACACGAUAUACCCGGUCUACCAUAAUAGAAUCUCUGACAGGCAUAGACACAUAAAUAUGAGUAUUCAAAGAAUCAUGAGACAUAUCCAGAUAUGAAAUAAAAUAUGAUGACACAUAUGAAUAAGUGAAACCCGGAUCAAAUAGAACUAAUGCAUCUCUAUGGAAAAUUGGAAUAAUACCUGUGAUGACCGCAUCCGACGACUCUGCCUCGGGUCUAGCUGGGAAUGCAUAAAAAUGGGGCUGAGCCCUACCACUCUGACCUCCGCCUAUCAGACGGCCUCUAAUUGGCUGGCCUCCAUCUCUAAUGCCCUAAUCACCACCUCUAGUUGUCAGAUCCCCGCCCUAGCUAGCUGUGCGGGCGGUGGAGCAAUCGGUGCCGGAAUCAUGGCACGGGUACCCUGAUGUGGUCUGCUGCUCAUCAAUCUAGGACAGUAACUCCUGAUGUGAUUUGCGUCGCCACACUCAAAGCAACCCAACAGCUGGCCUAACUGCUGAGUCUGAGAUGAUCCCUGAUGACCCGAACGACCACUGUAGUAACUCUGUAGUGGUGGUUUACUGAUAGGAUCUGAAGGUGUACUAUAUACUGGCUGCUCAGGACGAGACCCAUAAGAGACCAUGACUGCUCGAAGCACCGUGUGCUACCUGAAGCACUAACCGAAUCCGUCUUUGAGGAUAGCCUCUGGCAAAUGAACCUCUACCUCCAGAUGAGGCACCACUGAAACCACCAAAAUGACGAGGCCUCUUCUCAGAUACCGCCUCUCUACCGUGACCACGAAUUCUCUCGAUCCGUCUGGCAAUCUCUACAGUUCAUUAGAAAGAAAUAUCAUCCCUAGCCUCCUUGGUCAUAUGUAGCAUGAUAGCAAAAGUAAGGCCUUCUAUGAUCUCUUCAGCUCUCCUUAUCAGUAGGAAUCAAAAUAGUUGCAAGGCAAGAUAGGUCCACAAAUCUGGCCUCGUACUGGGUAACAGUCAUACCACCCUAUUGUAGACGCUCAAACUGGUUGUGGUACCCCUCUCUCAGAGUAAUAGGAAUGAACUUCUCCAAAAAUAGCUGUGAGAAAUGAUCCUAAAUAAGUGGAGGAUAACUUGAUGGUCUGGCUCGAACAUAAUCUUGUCACCAUCUCCUUAGAGAGCCGGUCAUCUGGAACACUGCAAAGUCGACUCUAUUGGACUCCAAAAUACCCAUGUUGCACAACACCUCGUGGAAACAGUCCAAAUAAUCAUGUGGUUCCUCAGAAGGUAUACCACCAAAAUGAAUAGGAAAAAGCUUGGCAAACUUAUCCAGCUUCUUCAAUCCCUCAGAAGACAUCAUGGGCCUCUCCCCGGGUUGUGUAGGAAUAACGGGUUGAACCACUCCAACUGCUGGAACAGCCGGAGUUUGAUAUAGGGGAGCCAUCUGCUUCAGAGUUUAAUUGGUGGGAGUAUGAGCUCCCCUAGCCUGAGAGACAGCUGGUGCCAUAGGAAAUACUCUGGCUUGGGCCACACUCUCCAUAAGGCCCACUAAGCGGACUAGGGCAUCCUGAAGUACAGGAGUAGUAAUGAACCUUCCGGGGCCUGAGCGGGUUUGACUGGUGCGGUCUGAAUAGGGAUCUCCUCCUCAUGCUCAAUCUGAAGCUCCACAAUGGAUGUUGCUGCACGUAGGCUAAGCUCUGCCUCUGCCUCGGCCCCUACCUCAGCCCUGGCCCCGGCUCCUAUCAUGGUCCUGGCCCCGGCCCCUACCCUGGUAGUGGCUACAACAGGGGACUCUGGCUCCUGCCCGACUGUGGAUGUUGUGAGAGUUCUCACCAUCUGCGAGAGAACAAGAAUGGAAUGUUCAAACUUCAGUAAUAGAAUAAAGUCGUACGAUAGGGAAUUAAAUAAAUGAAUUUUUCUUAAAGCUCUAUAGCCUCUAGAAUAUAAGUACAUACGUCUCCCUACCGAUCCUCCAGACACUACUAAGCUUGCUCAUGACUCGUGAGUCCUAGGCAACCUAGUACUGUGAUACCAACUUGUCACGACCCAAAAUUCCAACAUCGGGGUCGUGAUGGCGCCUGACACCUACUUUCUAGGCAAGCCAACGUUAGGUAACUGAUUGUCCAUUUUUAGAAUUUAAAACAGCAUAACAGUAAUAAUUAAUGAACAACAAAACUGAAUUACAUAAGAUAAAUUCAUAUCAUAACAUGGUCUAGUCUAUUCCCAGAAAUCUGGUGUCACCAGUAUAUGAGCAUACUAGAAUACUGCAAAUAAAGUCUGAAUGAAUACAACUGUUUGAAAUAAGAUAAAUAGUAAGGACAUAACAGGAGGGGACUUCAGGGGCUGUGAACGCCAAUAGCUCUACCUCAAGUAUCAUGCUGCAAGUUGAUCCGGGCAUGAACUUCUCUACACGCCACUCGGAUCAACAUCGAUAUCUGCACAAAAAGUGCAGAAGUGUAGUAUAAGUACAACCGAUCCCAUGUACUCUAUAAGUGUCGAGCCUAACCUCGACGAAGUAGUGACGAGGCUAUCACAUGACAUUCACAAUAAACAUGUACGAAUAAUAAUAAUAAUAAUAGAAUACAGAAAUAUAGAUAAAGCAGUAAACUCAAAUAAACGGACCCGAAGGUCAACUACCAGAGGGCCCCAGAAUAACAUAAUCUCAAAUCUCAUAUCACAAUACCGAGUAUAAACUCUACAGCCACAAACAACUACAACAUAUCAAAUAUGUUGCGGCAUGCAACCCGAUCCCAAGUUUUAACACAAUAUCUUUUACUGCAUACGACUCAUUUCCAAUAUCAUAUCAUAUAAUUUCAUGUUGCGACGUGCAACCUGAUCCCCAAUAUCGAUUCAUUUCAGUACCGUUGCGGUACACAACGUGAUCCCCCAAUAUAAAUUUAUCAACAUAAAUAACUCAGCACCACUAUUUAUAAAAUAUCAAAACAAAAGAGAAAUGAAACAUGCGGAACAAUAUGGAACUACCAGUGCAAACGGAGAAUAGCCAAUACUUCAUAAUCUCCAAACCUUGGCAAAUAUUAAUACCGAAAUAGCUAAUGUCUCACGUAAUAAAAAUAGCAUAAUAUAGUGCAUCAAGUAAUAUAAGGACAAUAAAAGCAAGUAAAAACAUAUGAGAAUGAGAAUAUACAUAUAGGCAAGUAGGAACAUGUAGCAGAAAAGCAUAUAUUGAGUGAGAAAUGAACAAAUUAAAACAAGUAACAAUUAAAAAGUAAAGCAUAAAUAUCAAGUAAGAACGUAACAAUUAAAGCAUUUAACAAGAGAUAACAUGGAAUACAUGAAGACAUGGAAGUAAAUAGCCCAAUCCUGCAAUGCUUUACUCCCAUGACGGCGCAUAUACACUCGUCACCUCGCAUAUAUGCCGUUUUUCCACAUAAUCCACAUAACAAAUAGUCCAUCAAGUCCUAAUUCCCUCAAGUAAAGGUUAGACACAACACACAACACUUACCUCAUUCCGCAACCAAAUCAAUCAACCAACCACUGCCUUGCCUUUCAAAAAAAACCUCCAAACCAACUGAAUCUAGCCAAUUAUCGAUCAAACAAUUCAAAAUAUGCUUUAGAAACUACCCAUGAAUAAAAAAAGGUUCAAUCUUUGAUAAAUUUGAAAAAGUCAAUAAAAGUCAACCCCGGGCUCGCUUGGUCAAAAUUCGAGAUCCGGACCAAAAUUCGAUUACCCAUUCACCCUCAGCCGUUUAUAUGAUUUGUUUUGAAAUCCGACCUCAAUUUGAGGUCUAAAUCUUAAGUUUGUAAAAUUCCCAAAUUCUACCCAAAUCCCUAAUUUCUACCAUGAAAAUCUUUGAAUUUAUGUUAAAAACUCAUGAAAAGUAAUGGGAAAUUGAAAUAAAAUGGAUUAGAGUUGCUUACCAAUGAAUUUGGGAAGAAGAAAUUCUUGAAAAAUCACCUCUAGAGUGUUUAGGGUUGAGAAAUGGUGUAAAAUAACCGAAGUCCCAUUUUUCCCUUUUUUACCCAGCACCUCAGAUGUAGCAAAUGCAACAAAAUGUUUGCAUUUGCGAACCACUACCCAAUCGCAAAUGCGGAACCUCCUUCGCAUUUGCGAAGACUUAUAGCCCAAGGGCUGAGCCGCAAAAGUGAUAGAUUUAUCGCAAAAGUGGAGACUCAGGAUCACAUUUGCGAAGAGUACCAACCCUGGCCCAUAAUCGCAUUUGCGACUCCAACUUCGCUAAAGUGGGACUCGCAAUUGCGAACAGGUUCUCUCAAUUGUGAGACCUACAAUCAGGCACUGGCAACUGCUAGACACAAGCAGUCUUCAAACCACCUCAACUCAUCCAUAGCACCUGUGAAACUCACUGAGCCCCUCGGGCUCCAAACCAAACAUGCACACAUGUGUAAUAACAACAUAUAAACUUUCUCUCUACCUCAAAUCAUCAAACUAACAUCAAAUAACAACAAUCUAUCAUCAAAACUCAUGAUUUUCAACUUGAAAGUUCAUUUUCACAAUUUUUCACAUAUCGCGCCGAAAUACGCUCAGGUCUCCCCGGACCCCAACCAAAAGUGUGUACAAGUCCAAAAAUAUUAUACGAACGUACCAGAAUUUGUCAAAACACCGAUCCGAGGUCAUUUACCAAGAAUGUUGAUCGUGGUCAACUCAAUUUCCAUUUUAAGCCAAAAUUUACUUUUCCUUCAAAGUUUUAUGUAAAAACUUUUUGGAAAAAGACACAGACCACACACGCAAAUCAAAAAACAUAAAAUAAAGCUAAUAGAGGUCUUAAAACUCAGAAAUAAAGGCUAGCACUCAAAACGACCUAUUGGAUCGUCACAACCUUGAAGUCUCCAACCGCACAGGCACAACUCUCAAAACCAACACGGUCCAAAGUAACUGGAUCUGCACAAAAAUAUGCAGAAGCAUAGUAUGAGUACAACACAAUGGUACCCAAUAAGUAUCAAGACUAACCUCGGUGGAGUAGUGAUGAGGUUAGUCAAGACAUUCACUAGACACAAAACCUGUGUAAGAUAUUAACAUAAAGCUAACAAUAGAAAGAACAUCAAUAUAAAUCUAACAACGGAAAGAUUAUUAAUAUAAAACUAACAAUGGAAUAAUAGAAACAACAAAUGGCAACAAGAAGUAAGCAGAUAAUAAAGCAGCAAAAUAAUCAAAACACAGUUAAAGUAUGAAUGAAAUGAAUUAAGGGAACAAAUUACAAUUCAAGUAAUCAAGUCGUUCCAACGCAUGAUUUACAACAAGAAUUACCCAGUGGCACCACACCUUAUAAUCACAAAUCAUAAGCCACAAUCACAAAUCUUACACACAUGGCAUCUCGUACCCACAUUAUCAAUUACCUUCGCAUGGAAAAUAUCAUGUGCCGCAACAUAAGUCUCACCCGCACAGCAAAUUCCACGUGCCACCACGUAUAUCGUAUCUGUGUCAAUUGCCAAUAAAAUAUUCGAAGGAUUCAUUUAAAUAAAGUAAGUCAUAAUGACAAUUUAAAUAAAGUAAGCGUCAAAUGAGUUAAUGAGUUUAUUUUAGGAAUUAAAUAAAGUAAAUAAAAUGCAAUUUAUACAAAGUAAAGCAUCAAAUGUGAUGAUAAGUUUGGUUUAAGAAUCAAAUAAGGUAAGGUAAAAUAACAAGUUAAAUAAAGUAAAGCAUAAAAUAAGACAACGAGUUCAAUUUAAGAAUCAGUUAAAGUAAAGCGUGAUAACAAUUUUAAAUAAAGUAAAGCAUCAAAUAAGAUAGUGAAUUUAAUUUGAGAAUCAAUUAAAGAAAAGUAUGAUAACAAUUUAAACAGAGUAAAGCACCAAGUGAGAUAAUGAGUUUAUCUUAAGAGUCAAAUAAAGUAAAGCAUGAUAAUAAUUUCUUUAUUUAAAAUCGUUAUGUUACCAACAACUCAAUAGAAUAUGAGAUAAUGACUCCACGCAAGUAAAUUCAUCUUGACAGCCAAUUCACCAAGUAACAACGGAGGACAUAUUAUCACAUUAAAGCAAUACAACAAAUCACAUAAAAUGCAUAGCUCACAUAAGAAGUCACAAUCGUUCCAAUACAAAAAUAACAACAAGAGUCACCCCGAGGUACUAUAUCUCAUUAUCACAAAUCUUUCUUAUAUCGCAGUGUGAGCCUUGCAUUUAUUUUAAAAAUAUUAUUUUUUCGAAAUAGCUUCAUGCGCUUUAGCCCCUUUAUCUCGCCACGUGUGCUUCAAAUGAAGUAAUUACCAUUACUAGUAACACGCGCAUAAAUCCCCUUUGUCUUACCGCAUGCGCCUCAAUAUCACCACCCUUAUACCAUCACAUGAGCAUCUCAUCACAACACAAUAAUCAACUCACACCACACAUGUCCAUAUGCCACAACAUUUCCACAACAACAAUACCAAUGCUACAAUAUUUCUCAAACAGCAAUACUAAUGCCAUAAUAUUUCUCAAACUACAAUACCAAUGCCACAAAAAACUCAUAUCCCACAGCUCAACAAUAAGGUCUAAAAGAGUCUCAACGACAACACAAAGAAACGGAUGAACCUGCGGACUCGCUCUCUAACUGUAGAAAUCAAGGCAGGUGCAUGUCGGGACAACUCACUGAAUCUAAUUGCAUACUCUGACACUGACAUAGUCCCCUAACGCGGCUGCUCAAACUUCGUGAGCCAUGCAUCAUGAAGGGUCUGGGGAACAAACUCUCUCAAAAACAUCUCUGAAAACUGAGCCUAAGUGAGUGGGACUGCAUCGGUUGGUCUACUUUACUCGUUAGCUUGCCACCACUGAUAUGCUACUCCUGACAACUGAAAUGUAGUAAAAGCAACUUCGCUCACCUUCACAAUACCCAUCGUGUGGAGAAUACGGCGGCACUUCUCUAGAAAACCCUGCGCAUCCUCGGUAGUUGUGCCGCUAAAAGUAGGAGGAUCAUACUUCUUGAACCUCUCAAGUCUCCUCUUCAAAACUUUGACAAAAUCCCCAAUUUUUCUCUUUGAUUCUCAUAAAUAUGAUGUUAAAUCUAAGAUAUAAUCAUGAAAUAUAAGUUGGAAAUUGAUUAAAAUCACUUACCUAAUAUUUGUAGAUGAAAAUCUCCUCUCCAAAUCACCUCCUACUGAUUCUAAGGCUCUAAAAUAUGAAAAAUGAGACUUAAUAUUGACUUUCCAGUCCUUAUGUUCAGUUGCAAAUGUCGCAAUUGCGACACUGGAUUCGCAAUUGCGAAUAAAACCUCUCAAAUAUGGCUACUAACAUCCUAAGCAAAAUUUCGCAAAUGCGAUAAUGGAUUUGCAAUUACGAACCAUGUUCCCAUUGCAAAUGCGACAAAUCAUAUCGAAAUUACAAUUCUACCCAAAUCUGCCUAUGUUGGCAAUUGCGAGUGAGGCAUCGCAAAUGCUGUAACGACCCGAUCGGUCGUUUUGAGCAUUUGCAUUUUAUCGGUAGUUUGAGGGCAUGAGUAGCUCCGUAUGAUGUAUUAUGACUUAUGUAAAUCGUCGGUUUUUGUUUUCAGGUUAUUCAGAAUCGAUUUGGAAGAAUGAAUUUCAUGAUUUAAGCUUUAAGUUGGAAGAGUUGACCAAGUUUGACUUUUGUGAAUUUGACCUUGGAACUAAGUUUUGAGGGCUCCGUUAGGUCCGGAUGGUAUUUUAGACUUGGGCGUAUGUCCGAAUUUGCAUUUGGAUAUUUCUAUAAGGAUUCAGCGCUAAUUGGCGAAAGUUGGAAAUUUGAAGGUUUGGAAAGUUCAUAUGUUUGAUCGGGAGUUGACUUUGUGGAUAUCGAAUUCGGAUUGUGGUUCUGGGAAUUGGAAUAGCUUCGUUAUGUUAUUUGGGACUUGUGUGCAGAAUUUGAGUUCAUUCCGAUUUGAUUUGAUAUGUUUCGGCGCGAGUGUUGGAAGUUGAAAGAUUUAAAGUUCAUUAAGUUUUAAUUGAGGUGCGAUUCAUUGUUUCAAUGUUGUUAUGUGUGAUUGGAGGCCUCGAGUUGGUCCGUGUAAUGUCAUGAAACAUGUUGGUAUAUUCGGACGGGGUCCCAAGAGGCUCGGGUAAGUUUCGGACGAGGUUCGGAUAAGUUUUGGACUAAGUUGAAUUUUGGCUGGGCUGCUGGUUCUGGUGUUCCGCACCUGCGGCUGGUAUUGCACAGGUGCAAUGGUCGCAGAAGUGAGCCCAUGAGUGCAGUGGUGAAGAGCACUGCUGGGCAGGAGUCCGCAUAUGUGUAGCUUGCGUCGCAUCUGCGAAGGUGCAGAUGCAGACACUUCAUCGCAGGAGCGAAAUUGGACUGUUGGCAAGGGAUCGCAGAUGCAGGCAUGUUUGCGCCGAAGUGCAACCACAGAAGCGGGAAAAAGAUCACAGAAGCUAUGGCAACUGAGUUUGGGCAUGUUCGCAGAAGCGAAAUCUAGGCCGCAUGUGCGAGUCCGCCGAAGCGAAAAUUGGUUCGCAAAUGCGAAAUUGCUGGGCAGAUUCUAUAUAUUUCGAGGUUUUAGUUCUUUUAUCAUAUUUUGAGAUUGGGUGCUCUGAUUGAGGCGAUUCUUGAACCAAUUUUCACCAUGUGACUUGGGGGUAAGCAUUUUUGACUCACUCAUGAUUUUAUUUCAUGAUUCUAUCUUCAUUUUUGGUAAUUGAAUUAUGAAUUAUAAAGAGAAAUUGGGAGUUUUAGCCUAAAGUUUCAUAGAGUGAGUUUUUGAGUUUUGAACAUCGAUUCGGAGUCGGAUUUGAGUGAAACUAGUAUGGUUGGACUCGUAAUUGAAUGGGUUGUCUGAUUUUAUAAGUUUCUUCGAGUUCCGAGGUGCGGGCCCGUAUCGGACUUUUGGGUUGAUUUUGGGCUUUGAUUAAAGAUUCGACCUUUUUCAACUGAGUUCGUUUUCUUUGGCUUUAUUUGAUGUAUUUGAGUUGCUUUUGGCUAGUUUCGAUCCAUUCGCAGGUUGGUACGCGCAGGAUGGCAUUUUUGGAGCAUCGGUUGGCUUGCUCGAUAUUUGAUUUGGCUUGUUCAAGGUAAGUAACACUUCUAAACUUGGUGCUGAGGGUAUGAACCCCUGAAUAUACGUUAUAUGUGUUUGGUGUUGAGGCGGAGCACAUGCUAGGUGAAGGGCAUGUGGGCACGCACCGUAUGAAUUGUGACUUGGUUAUUUUUGUGGUACUGUGUAGUUCCCUAAUCUUAUUUGUAUCUAUGAAAUCUCUACGUGCUAGAGUAAUUGAGUUGUGAUCAAUGUUAGAAACUAUGUCUAGGAUAUAUGUUUAUCCUGUUGGGACCCACUGAGAUCAUUUCUGUUGUUGAGUUAUUUGCUUACAUUGCAAUUACAUACUCAGUCAUACGCAAUCAUUUGCCUAUCAUAUCUGAGUCUCUGUUACCAUUUAUUGAUACAUCACAUCAUCAUUUUGGGAUGAUUCUUCAUGAUAUUGUGAGCCCGAGAGACUGGAGAGGUUGAUGACUGAGUGAGGCCAAGGGCCUGAUGGUGAGGAUAUUGAUGUGAUCAUGUUGCACGCCGCAUCAGGUAUUAUUGAUUUAUGAUGGGAUCGGGCUACACACCACAACAUAUUUUAUUGAUUUAUGCCAUGAUUGGCUUGUUAUAGCGCUUGGGCUAAAGGAGCCCCUCUAGAGUCUGUACACACCCCCAGUGAGCGCAUGUACCUACUGAGUGCGACUGUCGAGUGAUUGGAAGGACUGAGUGACUGUGAGGACUGAGUGACUGUGAGAACUGAGUGACUGGGAGGGCUGAGUGAAUUGAUACUCUGAGAGUAUGCAUAUGGUUUUAUCACUGAGCUGCAUUACAUUCGACAUGCACACUUGACAUACAGGCAUAGAGAUACAUUUUUCUCAUGUUGUACGACAUUGUGUCAUUCAUGACUUCACAUACACAUUGACAUGUAGGCAUAGAGAUGUACUUUCCUCAUGCCAUUUGAAAAUGAAAUAUUUACCUGUUGAAAGUUUUGGAAAAAAUUACAGUUUUACAAACCACUCAUAGUUUGGUGAUUUCGGUAAAAGAUUUGGGGUUUCGCUGACAUACUUGAAAAGCAUGCCUAUUUUCCGGAACUGUGAACGAGCUGAGCACUAUAUCUCUGAGUUAUUUUAUUUUUUUAACUUUUAUUAUGUGUUAUGAAUUGUUGUUGGCUAUUGAUGUUGGACUCCGACCUUUGUUCCAGCUCGUCACUACUUUCAACCUAAGGUUAGGUUUGUUACUUAUUGAGUAUAUGGGGUCGGUUGUACUCAUACUACACUUCUGCACCUUGCGUGCAGAUGUUGGAUGUUGAUGUUGUUGUGCACGGCGGGAGCUGAAUUUGAAGUUGUACCUGCGUUCCGGUCAUAGCUGCCUCUUGAUCUUAGUAGAUUUAGAAUUUAAAUCUAUUCAUGUAAAUUUCAAACAGAUGAUGUACUUUAUUUCAUACCACCUUUGUAAAUUCUAAAUCUUAGAAGCUCAUGAUUUGUACUAUCAGUCCUUGGGAAUUCUUGUAUAAAAGCAGUUUAUUAUCAUAUUUUCUCUUAAUAAAUCUCAUUUAAAUUGGAUAGUUGUUAAUUGGCUUAUCUGACGGGUUAGGUUAGGUGUCAUCACGACUAGGUGGAUUUUGGGUCGUGACAAUUGCGAUACAUGACACUUACCUGCUCACUUCGCAAUUGCAAGGCUGGUGCUCGCAAUUGCGACAUCAAAGACACCACUACCCCAGCAACCUGUUUUCAGUCCAAACAUUUUCGAAACACGUCUGAAACUCAUCCAAUCCCUUGGGGCUCCAAAUCAAACAUCCACAUAAGUCUAAGAAUAUCAUACUAACUCGUUCGCUUGAUCAAAACAUAAAAGUAAUAUCUAGAACUACAAAUCAUACAUCAAAAGGCAUGAAUUUCAAAGAAAAGUUCAAGAGCCUCUAGAAUUGCAACCAAGUGUCUAAAUCCUAUCAAAUCAACUCCAAAAGAUACCAAAUUUGCAGAAAAGUUCUAAAUAGCAUAACGGACCUAUUCCAAGUCCCAAAAUCAAAUUUUGAAUUCGAUAGACAAAAGUCAACCUACGGUCAAACUUGGGAAUUCUUCUAAACCUCAAAUUGCCAACUUUCGGUUAAAUAACACAAUUCAACCUACGGAUCUUCAAAUUCAAUUCUGGGCAUACGCCUAAGUCUAAAAUCACGAUACGAAUCUAUCGGAGCCAUCAAAAUACCAAUCCGGGAUCAUUUUUAACUUAAGCUUCUAAACCAAGAGGCAAAUGGUCCAAAUCAACCCAAAACCUUUUCGAAACGAAACUAACCAACCCCGCAAGUCAUAAAACUACAAAUACACAGGUGUAAAGCAUUAAAAGGGGAAAUAUGUACAAAUACACAAAAUCAUCGGUAGAGUCGUUACAACCCAGCUGCAUACAUCGCAUUUCCGAACACUUGUUCGUAAUGCGAUGUCCGUAAAUGCGACACACUAGUCGCAAAUGCGAUCAGUGUAUCAUAUGCAUAGAAGUCGCAAAUGCGACAAAAAUAUUGCAUUUGCGAGUCACCCCUUUAUCACAAAUGCAGUCAAAGGUUCGCAUUUGCGAACCUGCCUAAGUCUAGUGCCCAGUCGCAAAAGCGACCAACCUAUCGCAAAAGCGAUUCUGGCAUAUCUACAAUUGCGAAUAUUUAUUUGUAAAUGCAAAGUUUUCCCUGCCCUGACAAUUAUCGCAAAUGCGAGCUCGACUUCGUAAAAGUGGAGUUCGCAUUUGCGAACAGGUCCUCGCAAAUGCGAGACCUGCAAUUCAACACCAGAAACUGAAACACACCAGCUAUCUGAAUCAAUCCGCAACGUCUACAAAACUCACCUGAGCCCCUCGAGCUCCAAACCAAACAUGCACACAAGUGUAAUAACAUCAUACAAACUUGAUAUCUACCUCAAAUCAUCAAAAUAACAUCAAUUACCAAGAAUCAAUCCUCAAAAAUCAAGAUUUCAAUUUUAAACUAAAUUUUCAUAAUUUGUUCACAUAAUGCGCUGAAAUGCGCUCAGGUCACCAUGUACCCCAAAUGAGCAUGCGUACAAGUCCAAAAAUAUCAUACGAACCUACUGGAAUUGUCAAAAUACCGAUCCGAGGUCGUUUACCAAGAAUGUUGACUGUGGUCAACUCUAACCUUAUUUUAACUCAAAAAUCAUAUUUUCUUUAAACUUUUACAUAAAUACUUUCCGAAAAACUAUAAGGACUACGCACACAAAUCAAGGAACAUCAAAUGAAGUUAUGGGAGAUCUCGGAACACUAAAUUUAAGGUUAGUACUCAAAAUGACCUAUCGGAUCGUUACAACGAAAAAACAUUGCUCUGUAGGGUACGACUCUUAAUGUUACUAAUUCUGAAGUUGAUAUGUAAAUCUGAUAUUUUUGAUAGUUUUUUAUUUAAAUAUUGUUGUCAGUAAUGCUUGUGUUUAGCAUCUCGGGUUGAUGGUGUUGGUCGAGCGGAUGUUGGUGGCAGUGAUGUCAAUUUGCCUUCUGGUAACAUCUGCUAUAUAUAACUUUUCUUUCUUUUUUUUAUUUGUUAAUUUUUUAUAUUUGUUCAUUCACUAAUAUUUUGUAAUUUAAGCUUCUUGUCGACAUGAGAGUGAUCUUGGCUUGGAUUCUGAUUUUGAAUAUACUGACUCUCAACUUGAUCUAAUUGUUGCCAUUACACAAGGAAGAAGAUAUAAUGUAAAUGAAUCUGGAAAUGAACUGACAACUCGUGAUGUUAAAAAGUCUAAACAUGCUCCAUCGGUAUCAAGAACUGUUGUCCAAACACAAACAGAUGUUGAAAAAACUCAUGUAGUAUUCACACAAAAAAGGUGCCUGCAGUUGUAAAACAAUCGCCAUUUAGGAAUGACUCGCAAUCCGGUGCUAGUGUGUUGGAGGAUCAUCAAAGGUUAUCAAAGGAAAAUUUCUAUUUGUAAAUGACAUUUCAGUGCCUAUUGAUUUUAAGCUUACGACUGCAUUCUCAAACUUUAUUGAAGCAGAAAUGCAAUUGGGAGAGUGCGUUUAUGUUUCCAUGUACUUUUAUUUUUAGGUUUUCUUAAUUUUUGAUGAUGUGUUGCUUAUCCAUAUCUUCUUCUAUAUGAAAUAGGGAAGUGUAUUUACCUGAUGCUAGGAAUCUGGACCCCUAUUUUGACUUUAAAGUUUUUUUUUCCAGCAAAUCCACUAGGCAAGGUGUCNNNNNNNNNNNNNNNNNNNNNNNNNNNNNNNNNNNNNNNNNNNNNNNNNNNNNNNNNNNNNNNNNNNNNNNNNNNNNNNNNNNNNNNNNNNNNNNNNNNNNNNNNNNNNNNNNNNNNNNNNNNNNNNNNNNNNNNNNNNNNNNNNNNNNNNNNNNNNNNNNNNNNNNNNNNNNNNNNNNNNNNNNNNNNNNNNNNNNNNNNNNNNNNNNNNNNNNNNNNNNNNNNNNNNNNNNNNNNNNNNNNNNNNNNNNNNNNNNNNNNNNNNNNNNNNNNNNNNNNNNNNNNNNNNNNNNNNNNNNNNNNNNNNNNNNNNNNNNNNNNNNNNNNNNNNNNNNNNNNNNNNNNNNNNNNNNNNNNNNNNNNNNNNNNNNNNNNNNNNNNNNNNNNNNNNNNNNNNNNNNNNNNNNNNNNNNNNNNNNNNNNNNNNNNNNNNNNNNNNNNNNNNNNNNNNNNNNNNNNNNNNNNNNNNNNNNNNNNNNNNNNNNNNNNNNNNNNNNNNNNNNNNNNNNNNNNNNNNNNNNNNNNNNNNNNNNNNNNNNNNNNNNNNNNNNNNNNNNNNNNAAAAAUAUGAUAUCCAAAGUUGGUAGUACAAAUUGAUCUAAUGAUUAACCUCGACUGUGAAAUAGCAAAGUUGUAGAAACCAUAAAUUAAAACUAGCCUAAUGGUUAUAAAAUUCAGUGCAAUCCAGUUCUUCUUAAGUUUGUAAGUUGUCCAAAGAUCCACGAUGAUCAUCAUUGUCCAUAGUAGACGAUGUGCGGUCCUUACCUUGUCUGCUUUGUUUAUUUUCCUAUUUAUCCUUUCUUCUUUGAUGCACAGUAGGACUUGCAUUCUUCGAGUGGAUCUCCUUACUGCUUUAGCAUGCCAAUUCCAUGUAUUAUCAACAUUUGCUGGGCCUCUUUUCUUCAUUGUUUCGUUGAUGUAUCGACCUACACUCCGUAUCACAACACUUGAGACCCUCACAUAGUAUUUGGAUGUACUACAUGAGGAGUGUUUUGAUGGAUGAGUGUACCCAAAUUGAAACAACUAGAUUUCUAGAUAUCCCAGUAUACUCCUAGCUUCAUGCUUGUGCUUAUCAUUGACAUUCUUUCUAGGGAAAGAGCACAUAGUGCUAAUACCACCCAUUGAAGUUGUGUCAAAUGAUAAGACAUGAGUACAGUAGCUUUCCCUGCAAAAAAGAACACAUUGUUAGUGAAAAAAAAGGAACACCAAGUUCUCCUCCAUAAGGAUUUGAACUGGAUGAUCGUGAAUGUUGUCUCCCUCUCCAGAAAGUUGAUAAAAUAUCGUUGUGGUUAUUUCAACAUUGUCCUCCCUCCAUCGAUCAUCCUCCAGUCCUCCUAUUAAGAAUUCCUUGCGACCCUUACCCUUAGAUAUGGACAUUGCAAUUUAUCACUAUUCACAAUUCUUCUUCCUUGAGUGUCCAAACCGCCAAAUCCAUGAGCCUCCAUAUGACCAAAGUCUAGUCCAUAGUUAGCUAAGUGGUCCGCUAGCUUAUUCCCUUCUCUCAUAAUAUGUGAGACCUUCACUUCACAAGUAGCCAUUAGUACAUUAAUGUCUUCAACAUAUCCUAUCAGAUUCCAUGGACAAGUCCACCUUCCCUUCAUCACAUUCUUGAGUAACAUAGAGUCUGUUUGCAACUCAAUAUGUGUAUAGCUAUUAGCUACACAAUAUCGUAACGCCUCCAGAAUCGCUAUUGCUUCUGCCAUUGUGUUGGUAUUCUCCUGUAUCUCCCUACCAUAUGUGAAAACUACAUCACCUUCUUCAUUUCUCAAGACGAAGCCUAUUGCACUCCUCCCAGGAUUCCCCCUCGAUGCACAAGGUAGUUCCUAUAUCACCUUGGUAACCUUCAGUUUUGGAGUAUAAACCUCCAUCAUGUUAAGCAAAUCAGGCCAUUUAUGUGGCACUAUCGACUGAUGAAAUGAUAAAUUCUCCAAAGAUAUACCUGCACAUGAUAGAAAAUAAUUCCAUACCCUCUUAGUUGUAUAUGAUGAGAAGAACACAUGAGACAUUGUUUCUUCCUUCGGGUUCAAGCAACACCAACACCUCGAAGCCAUUAAGUACCCUAACCUCCUCAAGAAGUCAUCAAGAGGUAUUUUAUUUUUCCACACCUUCCACAUAAAGAAUGCUAUCUUAAAUGGUAAACCUUUUACCCAAAUCAUCUUGUAAGCAUUGUAAAGUUCUUUUCUCCUUCUCAACUAUCCCCAGGCAAAUUUUACAGUGAAGUUUCCUCUUGGUUCAAGCAUCCAGAAUGGUUGAUCGAGCAUAUUACAAGCUACUGCAGGUUUUAUAUUUUCCAGAAUGUGGUUAGCAAAGUCUUCAGGCAUCAACUCCCUAAUUUUAUCAACAUCCCAGCCAUCCUCUAACACAACUUCAUUAAUAUUUUGUACUGAUUCAUCACAGAAAAAAUCUGGAGGCGUGCUAAAAUAUAAGGCUCCUAAUCCUGUCCAAUUUUCAAACAAAAACAAAGAUGAUCCCAUUUUUGGAUGCCAUAAUAUUUGGUGCUCAUUAAGGUCUCUACAUUCCAGCAUUUUUUGCCACACAUGUGAUCCAUAUCUCCAGGGAACUACCAUUGCGUUCAUCUUUUUACAAUACUUUUGGCUUAUGAAAGAACUCCAAAGUGUAGACUUAGUUCUAAAAUUCCACCAAAGCUUACAGAAUAAAGCUUUCAAAACAUCAUGCAGUGAUCUAAAACCCACCCCUCCUUCUUCAUAAGGCAAACAUAGAGUAUCCCAAGAAGCCCAAUGCCUCUUCCUUCCAUCAGUGGAGUUGCUCCAGUAAAAGCUAGCAAAGAGCUUGUGCAACUUAUUGAUCACAAAGGCUGGCGGAUUCACUACCAAAAGUAGGUGAAUGGGCAUGCUUUGCAAAACAUGUGAUAUCAAUACUGCCCUACCUCCAAUGGACAAAAGCUUUCCCUUCCAAGAUUGUAAUUUAUCAAGGAUCUUAUUUAUAAGUCAUUGACAGUAAUCCAUCUUUCUUCUUGCAUAAAAAAUUGGACAUCCCAAAUAGGUGAAUGAAAAAUCUCCCCUCUCAAUUCCUGUAAUUCUUUCAACCAUCCUUACUAUACCUUCAUUAGUUAAGUGAUGCAUAUAUACUGUAGAUUUAGCUUUAUUUAUGAGCUGUUCACAAAAUUGUGCAUUGAAAAACUUUACUGCCUCAUGUGCCAUGGCUUCCUUCUCGUCAAUCCACACAUCAUCAUUGUUUUGUAUUCUUUUCAGUUGUAACCUCUUUCUUCUUCCAUUAACUUGCGCAUGAAAUAAUUUUGUAUUCCUAUCUCCAUCAUUGAACCAAGACAUUCCGGCCNNNNNNNNNNNNNNNNNAACCAAGGUACGAUCAUGUCUUGAGCAAGUGCAUUGAGGGUAUCCCAUAGUUCAAUUCGUUCAAUUGAGUUACCUUUAGCAUACACUAAUGUAAGAAUAAACUCCUUGUGUUCUUCAGUGACAAAAAGUUUGAAGUUAACUGCUGCUCCAUGUCAAGUAAUACUGUUAUAUCAAAUUUCUCGUCAAUAAAAACCCAAAUUUUAUUGGAAACAUUGUAAAUAGCCUGCGCAAAACCAAUCUGCCUCCUGUAUCUCUCUAGCUUCCUGGACUGCUGCAUUGGUUCCAUCAAUCCAAUGAACUCGAAAUGAUGUUGUCUAUGCAUUGUAAUAAGCCUUUCAAAGGUUCUCAUAGUAUUCACCGAUCUAAUAUUCCAUAUGAGAUCAUUCAUGAUUAAUUUAUGGAUUUAGAUAGUGUUCUCCUUGUUUGAACCCCCACUGUUGGUACAUUAGGGAUCUCCUUUGUGCGUUUUUUCUGCCUCUCCCCGUUGAUUUGCCUUUCUCAUUAUGCCUGGGUGACAAAUCUCCAUGUCUUGCCACAUUCCUGAAGUUCUGUGUAGUAGAUUCUUCAUCCAAGUCCCUUCAUUUACCUGGUUGAUUUUCCUCAUCUUCACUAUAAUGUUGUUGAGUUACCAUCUGAUUAGUAAUAGUUGUAGGAACAAGAUUUUUAUUGGCUUUCUCCUUCGAAGCUAUUGCAGUUGUGGAAACUGUACUAGCUGCAGUAACAGUGUUUUCAGCUUUUUCCUUGAUUCCAAGCUCCUUAAGAGGAGCAGGAUAUAAAUAUUUUUGUAUUCCAUCAUCAUCGUCCUUCAUUGGAGUGUCAUCAUUAGUACUCUUACGCUUUCCUCCUCCUUUGGUUCCACCAGGAUCAAUUAAUUCAAUGUUGUUUACAGUAAAGUUCACUGUAGGUGACUUAGGGUUCACUGUAGAUUCAUAUAAACCCUGACUAAGGAUAGGAUUCUGAUUUUGCUCCUUUACUAAUGAUGCUUCAAUUUGACCUUUUUCCUCAUUCCCUUUGACUAUAUUUUCAGCUGCUUCUUAAUUUUCCCCCUCACCAUUAACACUUUGUUCUUCAUCUCGUUGAUCUUAUACUUCAAUUUCCUCAUCAACAUCAUCAUAUUCUUUUUGGAAUUCACCCUCUUCUGAAUCCUCCUCUACUUGGUCACACCACAGCCUUCCUCUAGAAGAAGUGACACGCUCUUUUAAAAACUGUUGCUCAGCCAAUUCGUUUGUGUCUAAAGAUUGUGUUGGAAUUUCCUGGCACGAUUGGUUAGUUGUUACAUUGUUACCUCCAAAAGCACGACUAACCCAUUGAGCUGUGGAUUCCUUCCCCAUUGCUUGUUCUUUCUCCUUGUCAUUGGCCUUAAUAGCUGAAUUAUUUCCAUCUUUGACUGUCCCAAUCCCAGGUGAACUUGGUUUAUAAACAGGUGCUGUCAGAUUAAGUUUCUUCCUAGUAUCACUAGGAUUAGGUCUAGAGCUAUUGAGUACGUUGUUAUUUUCCACCACUGCCAACUGAUUAUCUUCAAAAUGUUCUUCCUCUUCAAUCACAUCCAAUGCUGCAAAUUUGUUGGCUACCUGAAUCUGUUGAGCCUGCACUCCAUCUACUGGAACAAUCUCCUUUCUAGUUUUCUCUUGAACUUCAUUCUGCUUAUUAAUAGUCUUCACACGAUUGUCUUUAAUCUCUUUCCAUUGUUCUCUUACAUUCCCCACAACUUUGCCACUUGUAAGAAUCAUCAAAGGUUGCUUGUCUUUGCCCUUGUUCUCGUCCUUGUUCUUCCUUGUUUGAUUAUCUUUCUCAGUUUCCUCCAACAACUCAGAAUGUAAUCUCCAACACGCUUCUUCAUUGUGUCCUUGCAAUUUACAUUCCUUGCAAUACUUAGGAAUAUAAUCAUAUUGAAUCCCUACCCAUUCAGUCCUCGUAGCUCCAAUAACUUCAUCUUCAAUGUCCAUACGCACCCUCUUAGGUAAUUUAGCUAACAAGUCAAUUUGUACCUUAACCCUAGCACAACUAGGUCUUGUUUUGUUAAUUGUAGCCAUGUCUAGGUGAAAAGGCGUGCCUACUGCAGCAGCUAAAGAAAAUAGGCACACUUUCACAAAGAAUGUAGGCAGCAAGUUGGGGAAUGAAAUCCACGCUAAAGCCAUAGUCGUCUCUUUGUCAAUCUUGAACUUAGAAUCAUAUAUUAAAGGCCUCAUUUGAUAUUGAUAUCCAUCUCUUGCCUUUAAAUAAUACGCUCCUCUUGACGAUAAAUUGAUGAAGUCUUCCAGAAGUGUCAAACGAAUUAAAACAUGUUUAUCCCUGAAUAAUCCAAUGUUACACUCACCUUUAAUACCAUAUUGUGGUGGUAUUAUUCUACGUAGCUCCUGCAAUUCCGGCCAUCCAUAAGAAAAUUUGCCUACCACAGCAUAUUGCAAACCUUCGAUCAAAUUCAUACGCUUCACUUCUAAUUCCGUCCACUUGAUGAGAGGUUGUCCAUGUAAAAACGUGAUCGGUUUGAUUGGUAUUGGUUCUCCAGACGCGACAGUAGGGUUUUUCUGCAUGGGUGUAUUUAAUGAGGUAGGCUUCAAGAUAUUUGAGUAAUCUAGGACAAUUUUUUGUGUUUGGGUUAUUGUUCUGGGGCUGGGUACUCGUUGUAGGAGGCUGACCAACCUCUCUUGGGGCUAUCUCUGCAGCCUGCCUGGCUCUUAGUUUGGUAGCUAGGGAUUGUGUGAUAGUAGGGGGUGGUGGAGCAGGGUAGUUAGCUGGUUCUUUUGGUUGGGUAUUUGGUUUCUUUAGGAUGAUUGGGGACGUUAAGGGCUUGAGGGUUGGGUGGAGCAUCUGGUUUAGUGGUCUGAAGCUGGGCAUUUUUGCUAGAGGUUGCAGGUGGUUUAAAGGUAUGUAGGUACUUUGGUUUAUCAAAGUUGGCUGAGAUCUUUGGGUAUGUGGAUGCAGGUGGUGAAGUGGUGGUUUGAGUUUUUAUUUGAGCUGGUUGGGAGGCAUGAACAACAUGGCUAGACAUCUGUGGCAUAGGAGUUGCAGAACGGAUGCUUGGGGUCAUUUUAUGUUGAGGCUGAAGCCUCAACUCAUCAUAUUGAGGAGUGUGGGAGGGGAUUGCAUUUACCUCAUUAACAGGAGCCUUCUCUAUGUGCUCUUGUGCAAUUUGAACAGCUGCAUCAGUGAGGUCGACCACUUGGUUUCCUAUUGAAGAGGAUAGAGGUCGAGCAUCAUUUUUUGGCCUUGUGAUUGCAUUCCAAUUACCUGGGGGAGUUCAUGAUCAGUAGGAGGUUGGUUUCCAUGUGUUUGGUGCGCAAUUGACUGAGUGGAAUUGACUGGUGCAUUUGGUCGAACACCUGUAACAGUUACAGCAGCAGAAAUCAUUUUUUGUAAAGUUGUGGCAUUUGACCGAUUGAAUUCAUGUUGUGAUGGGUUAGGGAGAUUCUCUAUAGAAGCAGAAACACUUUGGCAUUGGUCUUGUUCCAUUUGGACAGCUGGUUCACCAUCUCCGACCAACUGAGCAACUGGAACAUCGUCUCCGCCUACUGUCACCUCGCAUGCGAGUUGCAGAACAUCGGAGCUCUCAUUUCCCACGGUAGAAUGACUUUAAAGUUGAACAGAUUGAUGAUAAGAUAUUUUAUCACACAAAAUUUUUCCGGCAGGCCGUUGUCUAGUUCGGUAUAUAUACUGCUUUAUUUUAUUUUUUGUAUUAGUUCAUACAUACUGUUAGUGUUAGUGGUAUUUUCUUCCUUUUUAUACUUUUUAUUUUAUUGUAUUAUUUUUAUGUAUUCAAUUCAAUACGAUACUAUCAGAGUAUACAGUAUACUUUAACAGUAUAUGUAUAUAAUUUAUUUUUUUUUUGCAGCACUUCAAUAUUAUAUUUUACUAUCUAAGGAAGAAGGCGAAAUAUAUAAUUAAUAUGCCAAUCAAGGUCACAACUACAUAUACUCUUUUUAAUAAUAUCUUUCAAAGGAUUUAUGUAGAAUUUAUAAAAGGUGGGAAAAAAGAUCAUUUGAUUGAUAGAUAAGACGAUAUCGUGGAGUACAUGAAAGGAUUUCGGAUGUAUUGCAACACUCCGAUUGAUCAUGCCCUCUUUCUAAUUAAUUUGGCAGAAAAAUAGCAUUGGAUAUUGUGGUGUGUAUCAUUCCAUAAGAGAUGUUUUUAUAUAUAUGAUUCCCUACGUGGUCGAAAGCACAAAAGUUGUUCAAAAGGUGGCAGAGGUAAAUGUUAUGUUGAUCCCCCUGUUUCUGGUUAGCAUUGACUUUUAUAAUUAAAAAAAGUGCCAUUGUAGUAGAAACAUGACUGAUCCCUUUGAGAUUGAACUGAUUACAAAUCUGCCAAUGCGGCAAAAUUCGUAAGAAUAGUUACUUUUUUUUACUUUGUUUUCCUCAUUCAUGUUAACAUUUUCAAUACUAAUUAAUUUUGUAUUAUAUUCAUUUAUUUUAUUUCAAAGAUUGUGGAGUAUAUGUUGCAUGCUUUGCUGAGUACAUUACUGAAGCUCUUCCAAUGCCUGUUGACAAUCUUUAUGUGGACGGUUUUCGAGCCAGGUUUGGUAUACUAUUAUGGAACUAUGGGAGGAACAAGCAGUUGCAUGGUGAAUCAAGGGAGUCAAAGGCUCCAGGAGUAACAAAAAAGACCCAUGGAAAAAAGUGCAAGAACUAGUAUAGGGAUCUUUUUGCUGUUUGUUAAUAGUAGCAUGAAAACUUUGCAGGAUUUUAAUAGUUUUUGGUGAAGUAUGAUAUUUUGCAUUAGUAGAUUGUAAAAUGCUUGCCUUUAAAAGUUUGUGUUCUAUGAAUAUAAUUGUAAUAUUAUAAUAUAUUUCUAUAACAGUUUUUAGUUUGGAUUAUGUAUUUUUAGUGUUGGAAUCUAUCUUCAGUUUAGCAGUUUUACUUUUGGCAACAUAUUUGUUUGAAUAAGAUUGAAAUAUUUUAUAAAGUGAAUUGGGUUUGAAUUUGUGUUAAGAACAGUUUUUAGUUGUAGUUGAAUCUGCUAAGUUUUUAUUUUUUUGAGCAGUUAGAUUACAUAUUUACCUGUCUACACAUGAGCUGCAAAGUGUGCCUAUUAUGCUAAAAAUUUAUGUACAGAUUUUGCAUUGGUGCAGCAGUUAUAUUCUGCAAAGAUUUUGGUUCAGAUAUAUUAAUGCAUUAGAACUAUAUACCAAUUAGGUAUACAGAUAUACCAUUUGGGUAUCAGAUUGUAUUUGAGUAUAUUUUUUCCUGCAGCAACUAGAUGUAAAUGCAUUCCACUUUUAUAUACUAAAAUACUUAUAUGAGCUGCAAAAGUAUGCCUAUUAUACUAAGAAAUUCUGUACAGAUUUUGCAUUGUUGCACCAGUUGUAUUCUGCAAAGAUUUUGGUUCAGGUAUAUUAGUGCAAUACAACUAUAUACCAAUUAGGUAUACAUAUAUACUAUUUGGGUAUCACAUUGUAUUUGAGUAUCUUUUUUCCUGUAGAAACUAGAUGUAAAUGCAUUCCACUUUUAUAUACUAAAAUACUGACAUGAGUUGUAAAGUGUGCAUUCCACUUUUAUAUACUAAAAUAUUGACAUGAGUUGUAAAGUGUGCCCAUUUUGUUAAGGAAUUCUGUACAAAUAUUGUAUUUUGGUACACCACUUGUAUUUCUGCAUAGAUUUUGGUUUAGCCAUAUUAGUGCAAUACAACUAUAUACCAAUAAGGUAUACAUAUAUACCAUUUGGGUAUCACAUUGUAUUUGAGUACCUUUUUUCUUACAGCAACUGCAUGUAAAUGGCUUCCAAUUUGUUAUACUAAAAUAUUGACAUGAGCUACAAAGCCUACCCAUUUUGUUAAGGAAUUCUGUACAGAUAUUGCAUUUGGUGCACCACUUAUAUUUCUGCACAAAUUUUGAGUUUAGCCAUAUUAGCGCAAUACAACUAUAUACCAAUAAGGUAUACAUAUAUACCAUUUGUGUAUCACAUUGAAUUUGAGUGCCUUUUUCCUGCAGCAACUGCAUGUAAAUGGCUUCACUUUUAUAUACUAAAAUACCAAAUAAGCAAAUUCUUAUUGAAAAUACAAGUACUUUCCUGAAAAAGUAAUUUAGCAAACAAUCACUAUACAAACUAUAUGUCAAGAGUAAGGCUUGCAUUUUAUUUCUUGGAAAUUCAAAUGAUAUGAUUCUACCAUAUAUGAGUUUUAUAAAAAAUAUUGAAGCAUUAUAUAAAUCUCUCUUUGGAAUAUUUCUACACGUUCUCCGGUUGUAUCCUUUUUUUCCGCUUAGUACACAUGUAAUUGUAUGUCCUUCCCAACCUCCUAUGCCUCUCUUCUUUUUAGGUCAUCCUGGUUUGCUUUUUCUUUUGGUGGUAGUACCACAUGCAAAGAGACAUGUUCUGAAAUUUGCCACGUAAUUUCAUCUGGCAAAGGAUUUACCGGUAUCUCUUUUGUUUUUAGAAAGUAGUCUUUAAUGUAGUAACCCGAGCAAUACUUUUAUGCAUCCAUAUAAAUUUUUUGUAUAAUUGCCAUUGCAUGUGGACAGGGAAUAUUGUCUAGCUGAAACAUUCCAUAAGUACAGUUUUUUUUAUGUAGGCGCGCCACAUUUAUUUGGCCAUCAACUACUCAAUGUAAGAACUCAGUUGAUGGCAACACUUAAUAUAAUUUUAAUUAAGAAAAAUUAUUAGAUGUGUGAAGUAAUAGUUUUUUUAAUAACAAUAUGUAGUUUUUUUAGUGAAAUGUCUAAGGUGCAGAAGUAAACUACAGUACAUGCAGUAUUUUUAUGAUUCUUAAAAUGCAUACCGUCAUUGCCUGUGAUGAGAUAAUAUUAUCUGCCAAUAUAGUUUUAUACUUUUCGCCGAUCUUCAUAAAUGAUUUCACGGCAUUCUUCCAACUGGUGUAAUUCCUUUUCUAUGUCAAGAUCGUCUUAAAGUAAAGCAAAUUAACAACUGGGAGGUCGCUUGCGUGCUUGUUUAUUGCAGUUAGUGAUUCUGCAAUAUUUGUUGUCAUGGUCAUAGUUCUAUUUGCCUUGGAACGUGCCCGGGACCAUCUAUCAUAUCCAAUAUCCAUCAAUGUUUUCACUCUACUAUCAAUAGCUUCUAACUCUGUCAUAUGACUGUUGAAUUCUUCAAUAAUGUAUGCUCUUGCUAACGCAAAGUAUACUUCUUUAAUUUAUUUUUUGGCUCUUCCUGAAGUUCGUCUUUAUGUUAUUCCACGGAUGGAAUAUACAUGCACAAUGAGGGACUUUUGGAUAAGAAUUUAAGUUGCUCUCCAUAUACCAUCAUGGUUGUCUGAUACAAUGCACAUACACUCUCUUUGUCCAUAGGUUUCUCUGAACUUCUCAAGAACCACUCGCACGAUCCAUCGUUCUCUGAAUCAACAAUUGCUUAUGCAAGGAUAGAAUUUGUCCUGUAAAAUCAAAUAAAAAAUAUUAAUUACAAGAUACAAUAUUAAUAUAUCAUUUCAUAUAGUAGUAUAGUCAUAGGUAGGUACAGGUAUGUAGCAAAAUAAUUAUAUACUCUGUUGGUAUACUUGUAUACCAUAUUGGUAUCAUAUGAUACUGAGGAUCUUUUUUGCUGCUUAAUUGAAUGUAAUUGAAUUGCAUUUUUGAAAUACUAAAGUACAUGAAUUAUUCAAUACUGAUUUUGAAACUUUUUUUCUUACUUUCUGCGUCUUGCGUGGAAGUCGUGAGUAUGGUCCCUCUAUAUGUUGACUUUAAAAAACCUCCACCAACUAUAAUUUUUGGCCUACAAUAGAUACAGCCUCUAAUCGAUGCAUAUAUCCCUAUGAAUGCAUACAAGAAGCAUCCAUAUACUUCAGUGUCUAGUCGCAUCACUGAUUACAUGUUAGCGUACUCUAACAUGUAAAGAUAUAUUGGUAUUUUUUUGUAUGACUCACUUGGUGUUCCACUCAACAAUUGCAUUGCUUUUUCUUUUAAUCUCCAUUCCUGCAUGUAGCUUAAGCCCAUACCAUAUGCUUCUUGGAUGUCUCUCUGGAUAUAUGUUGGUGUAUAUAUAGUUUUGGACUCAACAAGCUUAUCUUGUACCAUAACUACAACAAAAGCUGAGAUAACUUGCUUUUGUGAAUAAAACCUCUUAUCAUUUAAACAACUGUGGACAUAAUCGAAAUCCAUCACUUUGAAAAGUUUUGAUGCUCGUAGACUUGAUGCUUUAAGGCUCCAAAUGCAUCUUUCAUCCACGCAAUCAAGGGUAUACCUAUUUAUAAUACAAAUACAGUUAUGUGCAUAGAAGAGUUAUCAAAAUAAUGGUAUACCCAAAAUAUGCUAAAUAUCUAUAAUAUGGUGCUGCAAAUCCAUUGUAAAUUCAAACUAUAGUGAUCAAAAUAACUAUACAUUAAUGAAAAUAAAUAUAUGGAUGUCAGUAAACACACGGACAAACCAGUAUAAUUCUAUACUCAUAUAGUAUAUUGAUAUAGCAUACUGAUAUACUGUAUAAGUAUCAUAUUUUACGGAUAACUUUUUUUUUUUACAGAAAAUAAAAACACUAUCAUAACAGGGUUUAGUCUGAUUGUAUACAAAUUUAAUAUGACAUAAUAAGCAAGCAAUGGAAAUAAACAUAUAGUCUUUACUUCCAAAAAUGCAGAUGAACCUUUUUAGGCUUUAAUUAACCUGAUAUUGAUAUUUUUCUCUGACUGCAUAUUAUUUCAUAACAAGAACCAACAGGUUCUUGUCUUUGUAAAUUUGUUCUUUUUCAACUUUUUGAUGAAAUGGAUCAGUUAUGAUGUUUGCAUCAUCAAGUUGCAUACCGGUGUCAUCUCCUUCUUGCACGUUAAAAAUGCUUAUCAUAUCACUGGUUUCAGAUUGUGCAAUUUCUGAUGAAGUUGUAGCAACAUCGACAUUGGAGGUGCUUGCACCAAUAGUAUUUUCAGCGAAUGACACACAUAGUUAUGUGGGAGUGUUGUCAUCCCUGCACUUGAUUUUUUCAAUUUCAUGUAAACAUUAACGCUCAUAUCGCUGCAAAUUGUAAUAGGUGGAUAUCCUUGAGCAAUAGCAUAUUGAAUAACUAUUGUGCUAUUGUCCUUCUGCGGUUGCUUUUCAAUCUCUCUGAGAAGUUGUUCAAAUUUUCAGUAUGUCUUUAUUAGAAUUGCAUUAACAUGAAAAUUUAUGAAAUUAUGAUUAUCAUUCCAUUCUCUGUUGUGCUGCAGAAAAAUUGGUAUAUUUUCCAUUGUUCUACAGAGUCUCAACUUAGAUUAUCAAACUAAACUGCUUUUAUCUCGAAAAUUGAAUCUCAACAGUGCAAAUUUCGGCAUUAUUAAUGUCAAAUAGUGAAUUUGAGCAAGAAAUGUUUUCAAAUUAAAUCAGUUGCUAUGAUUCAGAACUCAAGAUUUUUAGAUCUCCAUAUUGACAACAGAAUUUCAGUUAAAAAUCAGUUUUUAUUCGAUGCUUUUACACAGCUUGAGAACUAACUGUUUUUAUCUCCAAAAUCGAAUCUCAACACUGUUACUGUCAAAUGGUAAAUUUGAGCAACAAAUUUUUCCAACUCAAAUCAGCUGCUAUGAUUCAGACCUCCAGUUCUCAAUAUUGGGAAUAUAAUUUCAGUUAAAAUUUAGUUUUUUCGAUGCUUAUACAUAGUUUGAGCGCUGAACUUCUUUAAUCUCCAAAAUCAAAAUCUGAACAACGCGAUGCGAAUUUGAGCCGCAAAAGUUUCAGCAUCUUCGAACUCAAAUCAGUUGCUAUGAUUCGUAUCUGCAGAUUGAAAAUAUUUUUGGUUCAACAGAAUUUGAGUAGAAAAAAGGUACGAUUUUUAGCUGCUAUCGUUCUGUGUUUUCAGCCUUUGCAUCGCGAUCUUCAAAUCUUCAACAAUGACUCUGUGAUCUAAAAUUUUUGUUGUUGUAAUCUCAAUUUUUAUGCGCUAGUUUUUGUGAAAUUCUAUCAAAAUUUGAGCUGCUCUUCCGUUUUUAUAGCUACGGCAUUAGGUGUUUGGUCGUUAUUUUGGGUUUUAGUGUCUUUUAGCUUAAAUUGGUAGCAUUUAUAAUUAUUUAAUGGGUAGAAUUUUUAAUGGGCAGAACAUGAUAAAUAUUUUAAUUUUUAUAGGUAAUCAUGUCGUCUUUACCCCAGGAAAAAAGGUACAAAACAAAAA